GAUUUGUCCAUCCUGAAGUGAAAACCAGAUAGAAAUUAACUGGUGAACAACCAAAACCAAGAUUUGUGAAUGCAACUAGAACAGGGAGACGGAGAGACCGACUAGCAUUGUUCUGGUCAACGUCUUUAAUCAUAUCCUCAAGGUGAACAUCAUCAAGACCAAAUUCACGGCAUGCUUGUGACAGCUCAUCAAUGGUUAUAAAGCCACUUCCAUCUUUGUCGGAAAAUGAGAAUGCUGAAACCAAGUUUUCCUCCCUCUCCAGCUUAUUCAUGUGCAACGUAGCUGCAAUGAAUUCACCAUAGUCAAUGGUUCCGCUGUUGUCAAUAUCAGCCUGAAGCAAAUUACAAAUGUGUCAAAAGGCAGAACAUCACUGCAAAGGAUUAUGAUUGAACUAGUAAAGACUGAACAAGCACUUACUGCUUCCAUUAGAGCCUGGAUUUCAUUCUCUGUCAAUUCUGAGCCUACCCUUUUCAAGCCAUCUUUCAGCUCAUCAAAUGUUAUAGUACCACUAUUGUCUGUAUCAAUCAUUUUAAAGAGCUCCUUGAGGCCUCCAAUCUCUUCCUCAGACAGGCUUUCAGCAAUAACCUGCAUAGUGAAAAGAUGCCUACAGCAUUGUCAAACUUUUUAAGAUUACCACUACAAGUUCCACGUUGUCCAUUGAGUAAUAGAAACAUUAUUAUGCAAAUCCAGUUAUCUGCUUUGAUAAAAUGAAUCUGAACAAAGCCAUUGCUGAAUAUAAAAAAAAUUGGAUGGACCUAGUGACUAGUGAGCAUUAUUUUGACACGCAGAGUAGAAAGCAGAGGUAUGACUAUACAUUCCUUUAACCUCUACUAGAAUUGUAUUUGGUUACAGAAUAAUGUGCCACCUUCAUAGUGAUCAUAAUUCAGGAAUCACUACAGUUAACAGUAAGAUUAUUUCAGACAGAGUGGGAAAAUAGUCAUGUGGAGUUGGCUUUUGAAACACAGCCAGAGUUAGCAGUAACUUAAAUGGAGCAUUAAUUAUUAGGGCAUUAAUGUAGCAAUAAACAAAACAUAAACGAUUAACAGAACCUAAAGGUGCAGAAUCAGUUAUCAUAUCAAAUAGGGAUAAGUAACCGUACCCUCAAUGCCAUCUUCUUGAGCUUGUUCAUUGCCGAAAAAUGCUUCAGCCUUGACAAAACAGCAGAAUCAAUAGGCGUAUCAGGUGCCACGGCAUCAUCAACAAUCCAAGGGUGACCUGACACAUACAACACCAUAAUCCACUAUGAGUUAACAAAAAUGCAUAUCCUCAGUGGACAUGUGGGACAUAUAUACCUACACAGCUACACCGCAACUACAUGAGAGAGAUGAAGGGGUGUGCUUACAAAGAACCUCAUGAGCACUAAAUCUCUUCUUAGGAUCCCGAGUAAGCAUAUUACGGACCAGAUCCUUAGCACUAUCAGAGAUACUUGGCCAGGGUUCAGAUUCAAAAUCAAGUUUACCUCGCAGAAUCUGCCUGAAGAUUCCCGCUUCAGUUUCUGCGGAGAAAACAUAUUCGAUAACGGAAAACGUGUGAAUUUGCGGAGUCAAACGAAUUUGGUGCUUUGAAUGACAAAUGCUAAUUCCAAAAAAAAUGGCAUAUACUUUACCUGCCCAAAAUGGGGGGACACCACAAAGCAAAAUGUACAGGAUCACCCCUGCGCUCCACACAUCAGCUUCUGGACCAUAGCAUUUCUGUAGUACCUCUGGUGCGACAUGGUAGGGACUCCCAACAACAUCACUGAAUUUGUCACCUGAAGAAAUGGAAAAGAACAGCUUGCAUAAUCAAUAAACUUGGCCCAACAGACAGAAAACAUCCUUAGCCAAUCUGCGUACAAUUUAGAAUGCAAAUACCAUUGUACCAAACACAUGAAAAUUUUUCUCGAAAAGGGCUAAAAUAAAAAAAAGUCGGUCAGAUCGAGGGCAACUCGGAGUUCUCAUGCAGGAACCGGACGAUCACCACCGUGGUGUUAUCGGAAGUUUCCCUUUUGUAAGCUUCUUUGAGAAGCUCUUUUGCUGAUUCCUCGGGGUCCCAAAUAUGUCUCUUGGCUAUGGCAACAGCUCCCUGGGAAAUACACAAACUACAUCAGAUAGGCAGGCCAAUCGCACUGAACGAAAAAUAUUUCGGUAAUACUUUUAGGUACCUCGUUAGUGACAACCUGCCAGAGUCCAUUACUAGCAAGGAUGAUGAAUUCAAGGGAGCUGUCAACCACCACCUCCUGUAGCAACAGCAAGAAUCGUUUUCAGAUGGUUACAGGAACUUCACGUAUGGCAUUGCAGCUGAUAGAAUCUCCAUCUUUACUCUUUAGGCACUCAAAAAUCGACGUACUUCCUCAAACCAUGAUAGAGAAAAGAAAACUAUCCAGACAAUCCAUAAGAAAACAAAACUAAAUACAAGACAAACCUUGAUUGAGAAAACUAUCCAGACAAUCCAUAACAAAACAAAACUAAAUAAGACAAACCUUGAUUUCUGGAUCAGCGACAACAUACUGCUUCAAGAGUUUAUCAUCAAAUGCUUGAGAGACUGGGACAACACCACCCACACGCAACCCCUCUACAAAAUUCCAAUAACGAAACAGUAGAAAUAAACGUAGCGGCGCAUAUUAUGCAGGCAGUUUCUUUAUGAUAGGUUCAGAGAAAUUAUUACCAUCCCACAUAACAAAGCCCCCAGCAUCCUCAAUUCUAUGUCUCUCAUCUGACUGAUCAGGUUUGUGAUCCCUUGAACACAAUCGCUGCAGAUUAAAGGAUGGGGAAAGCAUCAUUAAACUGUUGAGAUGCGUCAGUUUAUUUGAUAUUAACUUGGAAUACUGCUAUUCAGUUUACAGAUUUGUCAUGGGGGGAAUACUUGACCUGGAAAACGCGCAGAAUAUAAUAUUUGAAAGUUUCUGAUACAAGUGCAAGUAUAGGGACACAAGACACUGAGAUGUGUCAUGUUUCAGAAAAUAAACUUACCCCGUCCUCCUUUACAAAUAACAGCUCUAGAAUCUCCAACAUUUGCAACAAGUAAACAACCACCUACAAAAAUAGCUGUCACGGCAGUUGAGCCAGCACCUGGACCUGGUUUACUUCUAUCAACUUUCAAAAAUUGUGAAUCUGUGUGGUUGUAAGCUUCAGCUGCAGAAAAAACAACAGAGAGUAGCAAGAUCAUGUUAUCUUUGUGUAGAAGUAUAAAGUCCACAAUUGUUGAUGUGAGCGUACUGCGUACCAAUAGCAGCCUUGGUAUCAGUUAUGAACUUUGGGUGUUCGAUUAAAUUUCUGAGAAGAUGCUCCUUGACAUAUUCAGCUGCUAUCGCUCCAUUAUGACCUACACGCAGAAAACUGUGACAACUAUAACAACUCAAAAUGUCAAGUUCCUCAGGGAGUGAUGACAUUGUGAAAAUCAAUGGAAUUGAUAACGGUUUAGAUGUCACUAUAGGGCAUAGGCGAUACAAACCAUCGUAUACACCGAACAUUCCAACUGGCUCUCCGUCAACGAUGUCUAGCUAGCAUUGUAUCAUAAAAGUCCUCCAUCGAUAGUUCCUUUGCCUGAGAGCUUGCAUACCCAUAACAUAACCGGCUAUUUUUACUCAGACUGCAAAGGGAAAUGUUCUGUAAACCAACUGCGAAUCCAAACUUAGGUGAUAUUGCACACUAUUACACGAAGAGAAUAAUCCAGUACAGCUGCACAAGGAAUUUCCUAUGACAUCAAUAAAUCUAUUUAGCUGAUAGGAAGUUUGCAUGCUCUUUAUGUCGAAAAGAGAAGAACUGAGCAAAAAAAUUUCAAAAUCUUACUUCCACCAAGUUCCUUCAUCAGAGUAAAAGAACUUCAUUCUGUUUUUAACUUAGAAUACCAGCUAACACAUUAGUAUAACUAGUUACCUUAUAUAAAACAAACAUAAGCUUGUUAACAAUUUGUCACUAAGUAUAGGCAAACUUGCAGAAAAUAUAACUAGCUAGCCACGAAAUGCAGUUUUUUUCCACAUAAUUAUCUGAUGAAUCUCAGGGCAUAGUGAUCAGGUAGCACUUUUGUUGUAUUCAAAGAGCAUGAAUGUGAGGAAUGUUUAAUUCUAUUUGCAAAGGGUGGUAGGUGCUACGCAUCCUUAGGGGGAAUGGUAGGGGAAUCAGUUAGAGGCAAUGUUUUAAAUAGCGGGUUAAGGCAUUUAGCGUUUGACCUCCAAAUUAAAAACAGCUAAUAGCGAGAUAAAUGAAGCUAUAGCGGCAAAUAACGGCUAAAUUGUACAUAGGAUAAUUCAUCAGAGAUCGCCACUCGCCAGUAGUAUAAUUCAUGGCCAUGGAUCUUACUCAACGCAGCACAACCUCCUAAAAAGCUAGCCUUCCCUUUUUCCCACCUAAGUCAAUCAGAGGGGGAAGGUUAAAAAUAGAACUGUGUGUCAAAUGAUCAGAUUAGAACCCGCCGCCUCUGCUGCAGGACUCCUGGGAUGAUUGCACCCCCACCCGACACGAAAGUAUCGACGGCUGCUGCAUCUUCUCCUUGACAUUGGCGAACCUGUCCCUGACGAUCUGCACCAGAAAUACAAUCAUAUCAAGUCAAUCGAUGGUUCGUAAAGAAGAUGGUAAAAGAACUUUGUUGUAAUGGGAACCUAGAAUGCAUACCUCGUCCACUAGUGGUCCUCCGUUGAUGCCAGACCACAUGUUCUCACUCUCUGUUGCGUUAAGCAUUUGGAUUAUAUCCCAGGCAGCAGGCCUUUUGUUCGGGUCAGAGUCAACACAUCUAAGUCCUAUCACGGUGCAUGCGUGUACUUGUUGACUGUAUAUUUCCACAGGUGUGAACUUGGAUGUCUUUUCGAAUCUGUUCCUCCAUUUCUGAACCACCUAGCAAAUAUGCUAUAGGGGGUGUUUGGAUACGAGGUGCUAAACUUUAGGAGUGUCACAUCGGAUGUUCGGAUGCUAAUUAGAAGGACUAAACAUGAGCUAAUUAUAAAACUAAUUGCAGAACCCUCAUACUAAUUUGCGAGACGAAUCUAUUGAGCCUAAUUAAUUCAUGAUUAGCACAUGUUUAAUGUAGCAGCACAUUGUCAAAUCAUGGACUAAUUAGACUUAAUAGAUUCGUCUCACGAAUUAGACUCCAUCUGUGCAAUGGGUUUUGUAAAUAGUCUAUCUUUAAUACUCCUAAUUAGUAUCCAAACAUCUGAUGUGAUGGGUACUAAACUUUAGGGGGUGUAUCCAAACACCCCCAUAGUAAUUGUGUCAAAAAAACUUUAAAAAAAGAAUGAGCUCACUGUUAAAAAUUCAUGCCUAGCUGAACUUUGUCUCAUAUUCUCGAUGACGUGUUCGAAUGAUGUUUCACUGCUCUGGGGAUAGUCCCUGGAUCCUAUCAGCAGUUCUAUGAUUAUAACGCCCAAACUGAAUAUAUCCGACUUGUAUGAUAUCAAUCCAUUGUUUAUGUAUUCUGGUGCCAUGUAUCCACUGCGUCAUAACAAGAGAGUGCAAUCAGAUUUAUCAAUUGGACUAAAGAACAGUGUAAGUCUUAUAUUAAGAGGAUUAGCUUACAGUGUCCCCACACGUUUUUGGGUGAUGAUCCGAGAUUGUUGUUGGCCAAAGAGUCUCGACAUACCAAAAUCUGCAAUUUUUGGCAGCAUAUUGUUAUCCAUCAAUAUAUUCUGUGGUGUAAGGUCCAAAUGAACAAUAUUGCAUUCCUUGUGAAGGUAAUGCAGACUGAAGCAAAUUCUCCUGAUUAUUUCAAAUCUCUUGUGCCACUCGAGUCCACAUGAUUCAGCUGUAGGAACAGAUGAAUAAACAGAUGUGUGAGAUGAUCCAGCUUAUGUUUAUGGUAUGGUAACACAAAGUUGAAGGUGAAUGCUACAUAUGACAGCAUUACUGUACCAGAAAUAUAUGCAUCAAGGCUCUUGUUAUUUAGAUACUCAAAGCAGAUCAGCCCGUCCCGUGUCGUAUUUCAGCCAUGACAUACUUUUCCGUCUGCUUGGACAGCUUCCCACCAUGAUUCAGCACAAUAGCCUAGGAGUUGUACUAUAUUUUCAUGCUUCAACCCGAUAAGAUAAGUAACUUCAUUAUGGUACCGAUCAUCAUCUAGUUGCACCUCAUAAAGUUUCUUCACAGCAAUCGCCUUCCUGCUCUGAAGAAUGCCCUCUUCAGAGUCGCACUCUCAGUACUGAUCAUUUGCUAUCAUUAUUGGCUAUUUGCUAAACUGAACAUACUGCAAAAGUGGACUUUUGGGUGGUUUGAGAAAUAGGCAUAUAUGUACCUUGUAUACCGCUCCAAAACCGCCUCUUCCAAGUUCUUGCUCCUUGGAGAAAUCGCACGUGAUAUAUUUCAGAAAGUCCAGUGGCAGAUGCAUGGGCGUCGCACAUGGAUCCUCCAGCUUCUUCUCCAAAAUACCAAAAUCCACAGAAUUCGGGGAUAAAGCAUUCUUCCUAGUUCUACGUUGAAAUAAUCUGCAGGUUUAGAAGCAGAAAAGAUCAUGCUUUACUUUCCCAUGAACAUGAGGAGGUCCUGGCCCAGAUUAAAAAAAAAGAACUUUGCUUAAGACUUACCGGUUGCAACGCUUCCGACGGCGGCAAAGGUGAUCGAUGAAGGCUUUUUCUUUUUUGUUUUGAGUUGAGUUGAGUCGGCACUAUUCGUUGGGAGCUACUUUUGUGACUCUGUUGUUGUUCCCAGUUUGGAAUCUCUCUUCUUUUUAAUAUAAUCGGCAGCUCUCUCGUUUCAAAAAGAUCUGAGAAAUUCCCAGCCAGACCCAAGCAAUCAUUACGGUCAAGCAAGUCUGCAACUUGAAAGGGAUGGGACAUGACGACCCACGCCACGCAGUGUAGUAGUAUAUCACUGAUUGCUUCAUACCUCAUCCUGUACGCCAUCACCUGGAUCAACGCCACAUGCCACCCCCUUUACCUAUCUCAAAGCGACUCAUUUACCGUCGAGCUAGGCGGUUGGUGUUUGGUCGCCUCUUCGUUCGCAUGUGGUCACGUUCGAUGGGGUCCAGAACUCCAGAUCCCUGUAGCUGACAGAGUACCUCAAAACCACCUAACCACUCAUUCCACCAAUCCAUAGUACUAUUGCAACAUUGACACCCGGGAGCAAAUUGGCCACAUGGCACCGACUGCUCUCAAGGAAAAGAAACAAAACUACAAUGAAAGGGAUUUUACUAUCGAAACACAAAAGCUAAACAGCUAUAUAAUGUUUACAAUCACAUAAUUGUAUCUGAAAAUGAUUUCAGAAUACAUAAGAUUAAAUCAUGAGUUCGGAGAAAUGCAUCCAUACAAAUCCCUGGUGUAUAUACUACCAUUUUGUAAAGAAAAAAAAUGAAUAAUACAAAAGAAAUCCACCAUCACCAACAUGCUGUGCAUGCUGUUUUCUAACACAUUCAAACAUUGAAUCUGGACACAUGACUGGAAGCAUAUGUUGUAUUGUCUUGUCUAUCUUGGAAUUGUAGCAUCCAAUAGCUCAUCACAGUUUUUUUUAGUCAAUUAUGGAUGACAAUAAUUUUGUAUGACACCCCCCCCCCCCCCCAAUUUUUCUCCUGUAGUCCAAGUGAUCAUGUCGCAUGUCCGGGACUAAAGUGGAUUGUGUCACAAUAAGCAAAAACUGCAUCGUUGAGAUGAUGUAAUCAUCCCUGCAGAUGACCAUACAACUAGUGAAAUGAUCCAUUCACGCACACGAUAAGUAUAUCUUCGACAUGGCCUGGAGACACCACGGGUUGAGGGAACUCAACAGUUCAUAGAUCAAGCGGGCAGCAAAUUCAUGCCAAAUAUGGUGGAAAUAUGACCAACAGUUGAAUGUGAAUGAGGUUGUCUUACAAUAUAAUGAAAAAGGGGGGGAAACGGACCCCCGCGGCGUGGAGGGCGACAAGGAAAUGCCCCGGGAGCGUUGACCGCUGGGUGAGGAAAGCGAGGGCGAGGGCGUGGGGGAGGUGCGGCGAGGAAAAGACGGAAACCGGGAUGGGAGGAGGAGGUACCUGGAGAGGAAGGGGUGCCUCCGGGUGGAUGUGGAGGUUGGGGGCAGGUGGUGGUCCCCCCCCCGGCGGGGAAAAACCGCGGCGGCGGCGGCCGUGGGGAGGACCGCGAAGAAGGAAAAAUAACAGGAGGCUUGCCUUUGCUUGGAAGGGUAGGACCAAAUUUUUUAAGUGGGCCUUUAUAAAAGCCCUAAACGGCUUGCACAAAGGGAAACUCCNNNNNNNNNNNNNNNNNNNNNNNNNNNNNNNNNNNNNNNNNNNNNNNNNNNNNNNNNNNNNNNNNNNNNNNNNNNNNNNNNNNNNNNNNNNNNNNNNNNNNNNNNNNNNNNNNNNNNNNNNNNNNNNNNNNNNNNNNNNNNNNNNNNNNNNNNNGGCCCUUAUUGAAGACCCAACCCAUCACACCAAAAGAGACUAAACGAAGAGCCGAACAGAUUAAUCUUGCUUAAUCCAUGCUCAGGAAAUGUUUGCCGGAGCAGAAUAUUGUUGAAUCACGGACUAAUUAGGCUUAACAGAUUCGUCUCACCGUUUAGCCUCCAUCUGUGUAAUGGGUUUUGUAAAUAAUUUAAUACUCCUAAUUAGUAUCUAAACAUUCGAUGUGACAAGUGCUAAAAAUAAGCAACGGGAACCAAAUGGGAUCUAAGGGGGUGUUUGUUUCUUUAGCACCUCCUAAAAUUCCUGUCACAUCGAAUGUUUAGAUACUAAUUAGGAGUAUUAAACAUAGGCUAAUUACAAAACUAAUUGCACAGAUGGAGACUAAUUUGCGAGACGAAUCUAUUAAGUCUAAUUAGUCCAUGAUUUGACAAUGUGAUGCUAGAGUAAACAUAUGCUAAUGAUGGAUUAAUUAGGCUUAAUAGAUUCAUCUCGUGAAUUAGCCUUCAUCUGUGUAAUUAGUUUUAUAAUUAGCUCAUGUUUAGUCCUCCUAAUUAGCCUCCAAAUAUUCGAUGUGACAUAAAUUUUAGUCAGGACUAAAGAUCCAAACACCCUCUAAGUAGCAGGCGACCAAUGAGUUCGCCAAGAUUUUUGAUGAAUGAUGUUCCUCAUGGUUCUCCAGCGUUACCUUUUUCUCAUCAUCGCCAUGAACUCAAUGUAGUCAAUUUGCCCAUCCUGAAGUGAAAACCACGUAGGUUAUCCGGAGAUGUGCCGUUGUUAAUUUGUUUUACUUGCCCUUUGGGCUCGCUCCGUUAAUUGUUCAGGCUCCUCAGAAAUCUCAAUCCCAUCCUCGUUAAUAACUUGCUCAUCCCCGGUGACGUUAUUAGUUUGUCUGGUUUCAGUACCAUUUUGCUGCAAUGCUUGAGGACUAUUGUUCCCAGAUGCAUUAUCAUCCUCAUGCCAGAGGCUACUCUUCUCGAUGCCGCAGUGCCAAAGCAAUACCCAUAUGAGGGUUAUGAACUCCCCUCCGGAUUGGAGGUCCCACACGUGUGCUUCUGCAUUCCAACUGGGAGCAAUGUGCACAAGUAAAUCUACCCAAACUCCUGCCAGAAUCUCCCAACGGUUUUGCUCAUCCUCCUCGUCAAUCAGCUCCAUUGCUAGCAUAGCACCCUGCUGCACAAUGUUCAUGUUCAGCUUCCCACUCUCACUGUCCUGCGCUACAUUCCUCGCGGUUGCCAUCAGUGUCUCAUACCUAGUCAGGGUUGAGUCACAAUCCUUGAGUGCCUCACAAGCAUGUUUUAUGGUUUUGUCAAGAACCAGUUUGGGUGUAAGAAAACCAUCUGGCAAAAAUUUAGACCGAAAAACCAGCAGGUAGGCACAGUACCGAGACAAGCUGCUGGCAGUGCGAUAGUUAGUCCUGAGUUGGCCUCGUACAUGGAUACUGUCAUCAACAAGGAACGAAGAGCUGCGACCCAGUUUUCUUCCCAAAUAUGACCAGAUGGAUCCCAGGAAGCUGGGAUCCCUCAAGUCAAUGUUCCUGUCUUUCGCAAGCUUGACCUCACAAAGGCUGGUUGCGAUGUGCCACACUAGAAUGACUUGAGAGCAAGUGGGCAGUUCAAUACAUGCCCACUGGUACCGGACAAACCUAUUGUUAUUGGGUGGGUUCCUAAGUGUCGGAAUAUCUCUGCGCAGCGGUUGCCUGGUGAGGCCUUGUCUGCGGAGCCCCUGCAGGAUCGCAGGCUUUACACAUUCAGGGAUCCUGAUGGCAGCACCAGGUUUUCUUCCAUUGAGAAUAUCUGGAGCCACUCCCAGGGUAAUAAUGUGGGCCAGUUUCCAGACCGUCGGCUUGUAAGUACAUGACUGCAAGAACUCAUACUGGUCGAUGCGUCCAUGCCAUGUAUCGGAAAUUUUGGAGGCGAAGAAUGAACUUAUCAGAUGUUCUAUGAGACUAGUGCUCGCAGUCGCAGUACGCCAGCAUUGGCUCUGCACAUACUUGCACACGAGGAGUAAUCUCGUCCAGUUGGAGAGCAGGUAUGUCACCAUCUCCCAGACCUCCUUGAACACCAUGAGUAUCAGGAACACCCAUGUGGUUACGACACCGACAUCAAAUCCACCCACCCGGAGCCGGGUUAUGCGGCCUUUCUCAUUGUCAUAGCUACUGCAGACACUCACGACCAGCCAGACAAUGACAGGGAUAGUUGCCAUGGACUGGAUGAGGAUCAGGGAGAGAGAAAGAAGCCCUCGCCAGAAGACCAUAGGGUAGAAGGUGAAGUAGUAGUCUAUGGUGAAUGCAAGUUCCAGCUCCAAGAUUCUGAAUGAUCGCCCUGCUGCUCUUGCUGCCUCUGCAUGUUGAUCACCAAUGAUCUGAGAAAUGAUUAGAUUCCGUGUCCUGGAGAUGCUUCCCGGGUGUAGUGGCACAUCCUCAAGCCUACAGCGAAGUAGCCUUGACAAUGCGAAGGCCAGGCUGAAGUCCUUGUACGUGCUACUUCUGGAGCUCGAGCUCAAAAGUGGCCCGGAGGAAUUCCAAAUCUUGUCCAGUGUGAUCAGUGAGUCUGGAUGAUGGCUCAUAUCAAGAUGUAGGACAUACUGAGGCUUCUUGAUCUUAAGCUUCCCCUUGUACUCUCCAUAAACCAGAUACCUUUGAAAGUGGUUGAAUUCGUUUCUCCGGUCAUCAUGGUCACCCUCAGUCAUGCGCCGCAGGUACUCCGGGAGGAACUCUGAGCUCCGUCCAUGCCACAAGGAUUUGAGAGCCCUGUUACGUGCCAAGUACCGGUAUGUGCUCCGCAGUUGCAGGAUGACCAAGAACCACCAAUGUGGAUUAGUGAAGAUCCCCAUGUCCAAGUUAAGCAUGGCCCCUGCCGCGAUGAACUUUAUCACAUCUGGCAGCACCAUCAGCGAUGGCCGCUCACUGUCAUCCAUGAUGCUGUGCCUGGAGAGAUAGCCCAGGCUACGGUGGAAGCUUACAAGCAAAAUGCCCCAGAAAGCAAACAGCGGAUUCUCGGAACAUGCGGACUGCAUGGCUCCCAAUAGAUACACCAGUAUCUGAUUAGACAUGCCGUCAACGAUCUCCAUGAUGGCUGAUAAGGUCGAGCUGCGAGACCGGAAGCGGUAGAUGUCCAUGAUGAACGUCGCAAGGAACAUCACUGUGACAAGUGCCACUAAGAACUCGAUGCGGAUCAAGACAUAGAUCUUUGUUUUCAGAACGAUGAAUAAGGAUGCAAUUGCAGCGCCAACAUCCAACAUGUUGUAGUAAACUUCUGUCUUUUAAUUUUUGUCCUGCUGGUGAAGUGUUCAGAGUGAGCAAGUUUUAAUAAAAAGAAUAAAAUUAGUGUUCAGAGUGACAUAGAGGCACGUUUAUCAUUACUAAUUUAUUCACCAUGUAUACAUAUUUUUUUUGCUGUAAGAAUAAUCUAUUUGGGUAUUAAGCUAUUUUGUUCACCUUUGUAAACUAAUUUGUUUGCGGUAUUAAAUUAUUUUUCUAUUUUGCGUGUGGAACCAUAUUCUUUUUAUAGACUAAUUUAUUUGUGAUGCUAAAUUAUUUGUUUGUUUUUAGAUACUAAGUUGUUUGGUGAUGUUUUGUUUGUGAUGUCCAGCUUCUAUUUUUAUCCUGUACAACCAAAUGUCCACGUUGUUCAACAUUUUUUUAACAGAAUAUCAUUAUUUUAUUCAUCAUGUUUAAUCUUCAUGUGAAACCAACAUUUGUUCGUAGUAGUAAGAACAAGUAUUCUAUAUUAAAAUAUUUUUAAAAAAUAUCAUCCAAAUAUAGUCAAAUGGGGUAUAAGAAAUCCAAUGGUGAAAUUAGAAUUUAAUUUUGAUGCUCGGGUAAGAAUUACUUUUUUAAACUCUAAACUUGCACGUAGGAUGAUGUCAUCCGCUUUUGUUUCUCUUUUUCACCGAUCGGAAACAAUCUAAACAAACAUACGGGUUAAUGGAGCAUAUUUGGAUAAUCCUUGAAACAAGCAGCGAAUCAGAGGAAGAUGAAGACCAACGGGUCCAAGAAGGGUUAAGGACGAUCGGCCUAUAGGGGCCCAUGCUGAUCGGCCUAGGGUUCUCUCGUGCUCAGUUUUGACAAGUGAUACUCCAAGAUGACUUAAGGGCUAAGUUUGUGAAGAUAUGGUACAGAUCGGUUCGGGAUCGAAGAGGAUCAAGCGGAGAUUAGGAAAGUUAUCAAAGAUCAAUCCCAUCCCGAAGCUAUCGAUGUGCCAACCCCACAUGCAUGUAAAAAGAAGACUCUAGAGCAUCGAAGAAGUAGAUGAAAGGAGGCGUGAGCGGGCAAAAGGAAGGCCCAGGCUGAUCGGCCUGGACCCUCUAGGCUGAUCGGCCUGGGGUGUUCCUUCACUCGAUCGCCUUCCAAUUUAUGCCACGCGCUCUCCAAACUAUAAAUACCCCGAAAAUCCAAUGAGCAUCAUAUUGAAGACGACAUAUUCGACAUGAAGUAGCAGAGAAGAAGGAGCUUGAGGGACACCACUUUGGAGAGCUGAUGAUUCUGUGAGGAAGAUCCAUGCCGGAGUUCUGGAGCUAGGAUCAUCAAGAUUAAGGUAAGAUUCCAGUGGUGAUCUUGUGAUGUAAAAUCAUUCAUGGUGAAGUUAAUAGAUCUGUUCUUAUUCUUAGCAAUCUAAGUAUCUCCUUCUAUGGUUUUAUGCUCUUUCGAGUUUGCUUGCUUUUCAAUCUAUGAUCGAUGAUAGAUUACUUAGGAUGUUUAUGUAGUUGUGGUAACCAGAUUUGCAUGCGUAAUCUACCGAUGAGUAUAACAUAUUCUUGUGAUCGUGCUCUUAAUUACCUAUACUGAUAGAGAGGAUCGUGACAUGGUCUUUCUUGUGUAAGAUGGGUGUUUUCGGGAGCCAAACCGAAGGUGUAGAUUUAAAGAUGCUUUUACUAAGAUCAUAUCUAUUUUGCUAUCCAUGCUCAGAAUUACAACAUAUGCAUAGUCUAGGUUGGUUAUCUCUGCUCUAUCUGUUAUCUGUCUGUACAUGCUUAGUAGAUUGGAUCUAAAUGUCUCAUCAACAUCAAGUUCAUACUAAUAAUGGUAUUUGAACUAGAUCUUGAUCUUAUACUAUAAGUUUCACGGAUUAAUAAACUUUCGUCUUCUGAGAGAAAAGUUAUAACUGGUCCGUACGGCCGUCAACGGUAAGCAAAUGAUAGUGUAGCAAGUGACAGUGUGGAUUUUGUCACCUUCUAGCGAUAGCUAGACGCACCCAUCGUGAACCACGACGAGGCGGCCUAGGUCGGUUGUGCGCGGCCAAUAGGCGAAGGCCGCGAGUGUUGGCUCAAAUAUGGCUCCACUUGGCUCUGGUGUUGGACUUGUGAAAAAACUGGCCAUUGGAUUGUGUCUUGGUUGGAGGUGUUUUUCCCAACUUGUUCCCAAAACUGAGUUUUAGGUAUAAUGUUGGACACUUUUAGAGAUGAUUUUACAUCCUAGGCACUUUUAGAGAUGACACGCCCCUGUUUGUUCACACAAGCGGGUCUUCAACAUUCUUACUUCCACGCUGGUCCGUUUGUGUUGAAAAAUGUGUAUAAUGCUGUAACUUCCGUUCUACCGGUAAACAACUGAUGUUGUAAGCCUGUAACUAGAGUGAAUAGUAUACGGAUGCUCUUGUUGAGAUUAGAUGUUCGUGUGUUUGUUUGAUUAACACCGACACCGUACCUCGAGAGGAAGUUGCCAGGGAACUCCGCUUGAUGGAGAUCGAGAGCGUCGACAACGCUGUGAACAACAGGAAGGCUGGAAGGGAAUGCAGCGCAUCAAUCAAUAACUCAAUCAGACAAGACAUAUACAUAUGUAAUCAACGGAGUAAUAACUAGCUGUUCACCUUAAAAAACCAAAUGUCGUUGGAGCGGACGUCCGCGGCGACGACGACGGUGCGACCCCUGCCGGCCGGCUGCCACUGGACACCGCCUUAGUUGUGGUGUGCUGGUGUCACCACAGCAGGCGGUUGGCCUCCUCCUCCUCCUCUUGCUGCUGCUGCAGCUAAGCAGGAGGAGCAGCGAAGAAAGCAGCUCGAUGCGCCGGCAGUGGUGCCAACACUACUGGUGCCGGCUUCACUAAAAAAAAAAGAGAAGGAAUUGCCGGGGCCCACGGGUGGCGCUGGCGCAUCGGCCACAGGAUCGAUCCGUGUGUCUCCAAUGUGACGUUUCAACGGAGGCACCUGAAACUUUCGGUCGGACCUAGGCAUACGGUCGAUGCCUCUCCUUCUACAAAGAAGUCUUGCAGGGAAAGUUCAGGGGUUAUUUGAUACGAGAUGCUAAACUUUAGUAGGGUCACAUCGGAUGUUCGGAUGCUAAUUAGGAAGAUUAAACAUGAGCUAAUUAUAAAACUAACUGCAGAACCCCUAUACUAAUUCACGAGACGAAUCUAUUAAACCUAAUUAAUCCAUCAUUAGCAAAUGGUUAUUGUAGCAUCAUAUUGUCAAAUCAUGGACUAAUUAGGCUUAAUAGAUUCGUCUCGCGAAUUAGACUCCACCUGUGCAAUUAGUUUUGUAAUUAGACUAUAUUUAAUACUCCUAAUUAGCAUCCAAAUAUCCAAUAUGACAGGUGCUCCAAACACCCCCUAAGUUACGUAUUUAGUACUAGUUCAUCAACCCAUGCUCCCGCACGGGCUAAUACUUUUAACAUAUAUAUAUAUAUAUAUAUAUAUUAUAAGUUCUUGCUUAAUUUUAUUAGGGUGAACUAUGAAUCAAAAUUGCUUUUGUUUUUCUUUCUUGUACCUGUUGAUUUCUUAUACUUAUGGCAUCAUAAGAGGGGUCAUACAAUCUUGCAGCAGAGACGGUAUAUAAUUUAAUAAUAUACCAUAUAUUUAUGAGCAUCGGAUGUCAUAAUUGAGGAGCGAGAGAUCAGUACAUUUUUAAGGGUCUGUUUGGAUACACACUCAUAAUCUUUAGGACUUCACUUUUAGUCCACUUUUAGGACGUGUGCAUCCAAACAUAUGUCAUAAAAGUGCAUUCAUAAUGUUUAGGAGUGUUGUUUUCAUUAGGAGGACCAAACCAUCAUAAUGGGUCAUUUUUCUCCUAAAAGUGGUCCCCAACCCAUCCUUUAUCCCUGUUGCCCCUCCCCUUCUCUCUCCACGGCGCUAGAAACAGAGCAGGGGUGGAGUAAUUAGGGGUACAAAAGUCAUUUCCCCUCUAACAUCCUAAAGAUUAUGAUUCCAUCCAAACAGCCCACUCAUAAAUUUUAGGAUUACCAAUUUCUAGCUCAUAAACUUUAUGAGUGUCCUAAAGUUUAUGAGGGUGUAUCCAAACAGGCCCUAAGAUUGCAACCAAAUCACUAUGUUUCAUGUCUUCUCAGUAUAGUUUGCGUUCCUAUUUAGUAGAUAUCUAAAGUUUGUGUUAUGAUAUACAAACAACGAUCAUAUGUAAGACAUAUUUUGUAGGAGGAUUCAAUAGGAAUAAAAGAUUCCAUAGGAAUAACAGUUUGAGAAGCAGCAGGUAAAAACAAAAACUUAUGAUAUGAUUAGUUGGCGUCACAUACGCCCUAAAAAACCCUAAUUUUAUAAUAUAAAUCAAAGAAAUUUAAUAGACAAUACUUGGCCGCGCGUUGAUAUCUUUCUCACGUGUUCUUUGAAACACAUCAGCCUGAUAUCGCUUCUAGCGUAACCAGUUGAUCUAAAGCUUCCCUGCAACCCCUUCGAUCUAUGGCCAUUGUAUCUCAUCCCUAGACCUUGAACCAUAGCCUUCCUAAAUUUAGGUUAGAAUAUAUUUGGUAGUUGUAGUUAUACGUAUCGUAGACUGCCAUAUAUAUCCGAGGAAGUUUUGCUCCCCAAAUCUUGUACUCAAUAUAUACCGGCCGAGACCUCAAUGCAAUACAAAUCAUCUAUUAUAUAUAUACAAUCUAUUUCUCCUGCACUUACAACGAACCCUAGCUGCCAAAAGUUUAGGAAGCAUCCAUAACCAGGCAUCGGCAAUCGAUGAACUCAGAAUCCUAGCCGCUAUAGUUUAGGCCGCAUCCGCAAUCAUCUAUUAUUGGCCGCCGAUGAGGGUGAGCCACUCUUCCUACAUGAUUCCUAAGACAGCUCGCGCAGGCUGAGCAACAUCUAGGCCUAGCACCGCGUGUGCAAGGAAGCAAAAAGCAGGUCAGUAUAGACACACGGGUUGUCAGCGGGACCGUCGAUAGGCUGCGAGAGCAGGGACUACAGCCUUGAGCACCAGGCACUGCAUACAUCACAAUGACAAGAAAGGGAGCCGUAGUGCUUGAAGAUUUUUUUUUUGAAAAGCACUACUUGAAGAUUUUGAUGGGAAUAACAGUUCUGUUAUACGCGAUGGCGGAGGAACGACAAAGUAAACAAGAUCAAUCGCAGAGGACACGAGAUUUAACGUGGAAAACCCUCCCAAUGCGAGAGGGAAAAACCACGGACGCCAGCCAGCAACAAUCUUCACUAUAUCUGGGUGUGGUUACAACGGAGAUUUACAACUUGGGGAUACCCUAACUUGGGGCCUUCCCGUAUAGAAGUCUAUGGUGCGUCUUUUCCAUGAGGGAGGUGGUCCAUAUAUAUAGGGAGGAAAAACCCCCACAGCCUCGUCUAUUAGCAAUAUGGUACUAAUAGAUGGUGUAGUCCCUCCAAACGCUAAUGGGCCACUUAGCUUCGGCCCACUUCACUUCGGCCCAAGAAUUUGGAUCAUAACCCAACAAACUCCACCUUGAGACAAAUUCCUUCUUAUAGCAUAAAACGAACCUUCACCCUGAAACAAACAAAGAAAACACCUUCGGCGCCAAAUAGCCUCUUGGGCUAAACAGUAAUACCAACUAAGCUUGAGCAAAGCUCAAACUUAGCAACAGGAACUGGCUUUGUGAACAUAUCAGCAGGAUUCUCAUGAGUGCUAAUCUUGCAUACCUUCAACUUGCCCUUUGCAACAAUAUCUCUAACAUAAUUAUAUUUAAUCUCAAUGUGUUUUGUCCUCUCAUGAAACAUCUGAUCUUUAGUGAGAUAAAUUGCACUCUGGCUGUCACAAAACAGGUUAAUGCAAGAAUCAACUCCAGCAAUUUCAGCAAACAAACCUUUUAGCCAAACUGACUCUUUACUUGCUUCACAAAUAGCCAUAUAUUCUGCUUCAGUGGUGGACAGCGCAACAACAUCCUGCAAAUGUGCCUUCCAGCUCACAGCACAACCUCCAAUGGUAAAAACAUAACCUGUGAGCGAUCUUCGCUUAUCCAAAUCACCAGCAUAAUCAGAAUCAACAUAGCCAACGAGUCCUUUUUCAGUCCUGCCAAACUUCAAACAAGCAUCUGAUGUGCCUCGCAGGUACCUGAAAAUCCACUGAACGGUCUUCCAAUGCUCUUUACCAGGGUUAGCCAUAUAUCUACUCUGGACAUACAUCAAAGACCCAACAGCACUAGCAUACGAAACUCUGGACAUGUACUCAACUUCCUCAUCAGUGCUAGGACAGUGUAAAGCUGAUAAUUUAAAGUGGGGUGCAAUGGGAGUACUAACUGGCUUUGAAUCAUGCAUGUUGAAACGAUGAAGUACUUUCUGAAUAUAAUUUUGCUGACUAAGAAACAAUAAACCAGAAGCACGGUCUCUAGUAAUUUCCAUACCUAGAAUUUUCUUAGCAGCACCAAGAUCCUUCAUGUCAAAUUCACUGCUCAACUGAGCCUUUAAUGUAGUGAUUUCUUUCUUACUCUUGGCAGCAAUCAGCAUAUCAUCAACAUAUAAUAGCAAGUAUAUAGGUGAUCCAUCAACAAAUUUAAUGUAGACACAGCUAUCAUAAUCAGAUCUCUUAAAGCUAUUUGACAACAUAAAUGAAUCAAACCUCUUAUACCACUGACGAGGAGACUGUUUCAAACCAUAUAAGGACUUCUUCAAUUUGCAAACAUGAUCCUCCUUACCAGGCAUUAUGAACCCUUCUGGCUGGUCCAUGUAUAUCUCCUCCUCAAGCUCUCCAUGCAAGAAUGCUGUCUUCACAUCUAGCUGCUCAAGCUCAAGAUCACGCAUAGAAACAAUGCUAAAGAAUGUACGGAUUGAGCUAUGCUUCACAACUGGGGAGAACACAUCAUUGUAAUCAACACCUGGAAUCUGACUGAAGCCUUUAGCUACUAACCUUGCCUUAAACCUCGGAGGCUCACUAGGAGAUAUACCCUCCUUCCUCUUGAAGAUCCAUUUGCAACGCACGGUCUUCUUAUUUUUAGGCAAACGCACCACGUCCCAUGUGCAAUUCUUCUCCAGGGAUUGCAUCUCUUCUUGCAUAGCUGAGAUCCACUUCUCACGAUCUCCAGAAACAAUGGCUUCAGUGUAUGUAGCCGGCUCAUGAGUGUUCUCCACCUGUUCAGCACAACUAAGAGCAUAAUGAAUCAUAUUACACUCUUCAAUCAAUCUGGAUGGAGGCCCACAACUCCUCUUUGCUCUGCGAAGUGCAAUAGGCUGAUCGUCUUGCUGCAAAACAAGAGGUGAGUGCUGAACAGUAUCAAUAGUGUCAUCAACAAAUUCAUCUUCCUGAUCAUCCAUGUGCUCCACCUGCACACUCACAUUCUGCUGCUCAUCAUCAGAUCUGUCCGGUACAAUAUCCAUGGGCAAACUGUCAUUAAACAUCACAGAUUCAUUAAAAACAACACUCCUGCUCAUGAAAGUCUUUCUUGUUUCAGGAUUCCAUAGCUUAUAUCCUUUUACUCCAGAACCAUAACCAAGAAAUAGACACUUAAUAGCUCUAGGCUCCAAUUUUCCAUUAUCAACAUGAGCAUAAGCAGUGCAACCAAAAACUCUCAACUGUGAAUAAUCAACAGGCGUACCAGACCAUACCUCAAUAGGAGUUUUCUUGUUGAGUGGAAUAGAAGGUGACCUGUUGAUCAAAUAGCAUGCCGUGUUGGCGGCCUCUGCCCAAAAACGCUUGCUCAUCUUCGCGUUGGACAACAUGCAACGAGCCUUCGAUAUGAUGGUUCUGUUCAUGCGCUCAGCCACACCAUUCUGUUGCGGAGUGUGCGGAAUGGUGCGAUGCCUCACAAUACCUUCUUUCCUGCAAUAAUCAUUAAACUCAUGCGAGCAAAAUUCACCACCAUUAUCAGUACGAAGCAGCUUUACCUUCUUCUCAGUUUGCCUUUCUAUCAUUACUUUCCACUCUUUAAAAGCAGCAAAUGUAUCAUCUUUACCUUUCAGAAAAUAAGGCCAUACUUUUCUAGAGUAAUCAUCAAUGAUAGUUAGCAUAUAAUUUGCACCACCAUACGAGGUCUUACGGGAAGGUCCCCACAAAUCUGCAUGUAUAUACUCAAGUAUACCUUUGGAGCGAUGUACCGUGGUAUUGAACUUUACCCUCUUGUGCUUACCAAAAAUGCAGUGCUCACAAAAGUUCAUCUUACUUUGAGUGCAGCCAUUCAGCAGGUUUCUCUUAAUCAAUUCUGCCAUACCAAGUUCACUCAUGUGUCCAAGGCGCUUAUGCCAGAGGUUAGUAUUAUUAUCAGAGACAGUAGCAGCCGUAGCGGAACCAUGCAAAGUACUUCCUCUAAGCACAUAUAACUUGGCAGAAUUCAUAUCACCAACCAUGUAAACGAGAGAACCUCUUGAUACCUUUAAAACUCCACCUGAAGCGGAGUACUUGUACCCAUCAUCAUCGAGUGUGCUGAGGGAGAUGAGAUUUCUUGCCAUCCUUGGUAUAUAUCGCACAUCAUCCAGCGUGCAAACCAUGCCAUCAUGUGACCUGAUCUGAACUGAUCCAAUGCCCACGAUCUCACAUGGGUUGUCAUCUCCCAUGCGUACGACAUCUCCACUCUGCACAGGCUUAUAAGAACUAAACCAUUCUCUGUUAAUGCAGAUAUGAAACGAACAUGCCGAAUCGAGUAUCCAUUCAUCAUGACCAGCAACGCAACCAGCAAAUGUGACAAGGCAAUCUCCUGAAUCAAUACUAUCAGCACCAGAGACCACAGAGGCAUUACCUUCAGUUUUAUUUUUCUGUUGAUAUGCGGCAUUCCUCUUCUCCUUAUUCUUUACCUUAUAGCAAUCCUCGAUGAAGUGGUUCGUUUUCUUGCAGUACCUGCAGAACUUCUUAUCCCUGGACUUUGAACGUCCUCUACCAUGCUGGCUCUUGUCGCGAUUAUUGUUGUCGUAGGACUUCUGCUCAGAUCUGCCCCUGACCUGCAACGCUUCGCCCUUGGAGGAUGACGACUCACCCUGCACCAUACCUUUCAUCUUCUCCUUACUUUGGAGCGCCUCAUAAACCUCCGCUAGGGUUAGUUCAUCACGGCUUAACAAUAUGGUGUCACGGAAUUUGAAUAUGAACCGGGCAGUGAGCAUAGUAACAAAAGACCUAAAUCCUCAUCAUCAAAUUUUACCUCCAUGGAUAACAGAUCGGCCACGAUCUCCUUAAAGACCGAUAUGUGAUUCAUCACCGAUCCUCCUUCCUGCAACUUGUGCGAGAACAACUUCAUCUUCAUGUGCAUCUUACUGGUGAGAUCUUUUGACAUGCAGAUCGAUUCCAAUUUCAACCAAAGUUCUGCAGCAGUUUGCACCUGCAGCACUUCUUGCAAGAUAUCAUUAGAAAGAUGAAGUUGAAUGAGCGAUAGAGCCUUACGAUCUUUACGUUUCUCCUCAGGAGUCCAUUCUUCCUUCUUCUUCUUCCCGAAGCAAACAAGCGCUUCAUCCAGAUCCUGUGAUUGGGCGAGUAUCGCCCUCAUCUUCACUUGCCACAGCGAGAAUCUCGUCUUGUAGUCGAGUAGCGGUAGAUCAAACUUCAUCGACGCCAUCACGUUGCCCUGAUCUGAAAAACUCAGCUCUGGUACCACUUGUUAUACGCGAUGGCGGAGGAACGACGAAGUAAACAAGAUCAAUCGCAGAGAGACACGAGAUUUAACGUGGAAAACCCUCCUAAUGCGAGAGGAAAAAACCACGGGCGUCAGCCAGCAACAAUCUUCACUAUAUCUGGGUGUGGUUACAACGGAGAUUUACAACUUGGGGAUACCCUAACUUGGGGCCUUCCCGUAUAGAAGUCUAUGAUGCGUCUUUUCCAUGAGGGAGGUGGUCCAUAUAUAUAGGGAGGAAAAACCCCCACAGCCUCGUCUAUUAGCAAUAUGGUACUAAUAGAUGGUGUAGUCCCUCCAAACGCUAAUGGGCCACUUAGCUUCGGCCCACUUCACUUCAGCCCAAGAAUUUGGAUCAUAACCCCACAAGUUCGACAGGAAUGGCGAGAGGCAAGACGUCUGUACUUUUUUGCUGAUGAAAGUAGCACCAGGCCAAAAAACAUCUGAUUUAGCUGGCGUCUGGUUUUCUAGUUGAUGGGGCAGUACACAAAAGCAUCGGAUGUUUCUAGAUAGACGGCAGCUCUUUAAAUAUACACACGUACAUGGUAUAUGAUUUUUUUAUAUUAGCUACCGACCCUGAUUUAAAUACAUAACAGAUGUUAAGGAGCAAGAGAUUAAUUAGGCUAUUUGUGACCGGUACGAUAAUUUAUUUUAAAUUAUUUUUAAAUGAGAUAAGUGGAUUACUUUAGUUAAUUUUUAUAAUGGCAGAGGUGGGUAAUUUAGAUAUAGAUUUGGGGGUUACUUAUACUAUUUUCAUAAUAGUAGAGGUGGAUAAUUUUUAUAAAAUAUAAUAGAUCCAAUAGCUAGGAUAAUUUGAUAUGCGGAAUUGAUGGUUAUAUGUUUUGUUUUUCAAGAGAAUGUUUUGAAUUUUUCUCUUUUUUAAGAGUGUCUACCCUAGUGUAGGCUUCAAAAGGCAAGACGUCGGUACCUUUUUUUUUCAUGAAAGUAGCAGCAGGCCAAAACAACAAACAUGUGAUUUAGUUGGUGUCCUGGUUUUCUAGUUGAUGGGAGCAGUACACAAAAGCAUAGGAUGCUUAUAUAUACACACGUACACGGUAUAUAAUUUUUUUUAUAUUAGCUACUGACCCUUUUGGGAUAGAUUCUUUCUCUGAUUUAAAUACAUAUAGAGAUUAAGGAGCAAGAGAUUAAUUAGGCUAUUUGUGACCGGUAGGAUAAUUUAAUUUAAAUUAUUUUUUAAAUGACAUAAGUGGGUAAUUUAGGUAAAUAUUAGGGGGUUGCUUCAGUUAAUUUUGUGUAAUGGAAGAGGUGGGUAAUUUAGAUAUAAAUUUAGGGGGUUACUUUAGGCUAUUUUCAUAAUGAUAAAUGUGGAUAAAUUUUUAGACAAUAUAAUGGAUGUAAUGGCUAGGAUAAUUUGAUGUGCCGAAUUGAUGGCUGGAUGUCUUACUUUUUAAGAGAAUUUUUAGAAUUUGUCUCUUUUUUAAGAGUGUCCACCUAGGAUCUUAUAUGAUUUCAUGUGAUGGCUUUAAAAGGAGCAUCCGAUUAGUAAUAGUGAGAUGAGAUAGGAUGGUCACAUUCACAGGUCCGAAUAACUUUGUUGACAUAAAAACGCAUCGUCACACUCAAACGUGCAGCACUCAAGGACGCACCUUGCAAUGCCUCUGUGCAAAAACUAGAUGCUCUAGCUUUUAGAAACUGGAAUACUCGGUUUCGUUCGUGAGCCCGACCAGAAAAAAAUAGAUGCACUGAUUUUUAGAAACCGGACUCUCCGGUUUCGUCCGGGAGUGAAUGCUCGCAGGGAGGGAUUUGUUGGAGCAAGCGCACCUUAGAUUAUUCUAGGUUCGGCAGGCCACCUUCAAACACCGUCAAGACGAAAGAAAGAAUAUAACUUAGGGUUUGGAAAAGUAGGUCAAAAGGAAAAGGUAAAAAGAAAAAGUAGGUCAAAAGGAAAAGGAAAAGGUAGAAAGAAUAUAACUUAGUCACAACAUGCUUGAAAUCAGCUAAAAUCCGAUUUGUUAGUCUAAACCGGACCCCCUUGAAACCCACCAAUCAGUCCCCACCAGUUUUCUUUGGACUAGAUUUCUAAAUUGACAGAAACUUUCUCAUACAAUGUCUAUAUUGGAUGAAUUAUAUAUGCAUUUCAAUCAUCUCGAUAAGAAUGAUGAAGUCAAAUUUGUGAUUUGAAGCUUUCCUAAAACCGGAGCCUUCACUUCGCCCAUCCGUACUAAUUUUGGUCAUUAUCAAACCUCUUAAACUAUUUUUGUUUCAAUUUCAAUCCGUGCUAAUUUUUAUCAUGAACAAAUCUCUUAAAAAUAGCAAUUCCCCGUCAUUUCAAUUCUCUUUUGGGUCUCAAGAUAAUUAUGCCUACUCCUUGAUAGUGUAGGAUGCCAAGGGAAUACUUCCUAGAGAUAUAUUCGACCUGUAAAGCGAAGAACCAUCAAAGCUGAGGUCGUGGCUUCGAAUAUUGUUCCGAGCUUCCUCCGUAUCUCAAAGGAUUUUUUUUUUGACGUGCCAAAUCGGAAGACGAAAAUGAAGGGUCUUGCACAUAAGAAAAAUAAUGUGAAAAUUGCACAACCUAGUUGAAGUUCUUAGACCUUAGAGCAUCUCCAGCAAUCCCCUUUUUAACAAUAAAUUCACUAUUGAGAAAAAAGUGCUUCUGCAGUCCCCCAAUACUUUUCUCCUUUUUUUAAUAUCUUUUUAGUCCAUCCUAAUAUUUCAUCCCUAUUCCUCUCAAAUAGAGAGUUUCUCCCACUACUACUACUGCAGAGAAGUGUCAUACGUCACUGCGUGAGAACCACCUAAUUGGUAACGGGCGUAGACAGCCAUUGGUAACUGUUAACACAAAAACUAGCCUUGCGAUGAUCACACGCGAGAACCUGGAGAUCCGGUUAACUCCGGUGCAGGUUCCUAUCGACUUGCGAAGGUGCGCGUGCUAGUCGAUUUGACCCUGAAAUCGACAGGAUGAAUGCAAAUGUUAAAUUCUAGAGCCUAUCGGCUAGGAAGCUGUCGAGCUCACGGGCAAUAGCGUAUCGGCUAAGUCAUUCAAUAGCAUCAUUAAAUAAAGAUAUGAAUUGAAAGAAUAAAGAUCCUCAUGGGCCGAGAAGUUCGAAGAGGGAUCAAUGCAAAUGCGUUUAAACAAGUAAAUACAUCAAACCCAUAGCAAUUAAAUCUACCAUCACUAUCAAUCGGAUCAGACCUAACUGAGACAGUGUACCAACAAACCAUUCUAAAUAGAGUUGAUCUAAAUAUGAUAAAACAUAUGCAUUGGCACACGGAGUUGAUCGAUCAUUGUACCAACAAACCAUUCUAAAUAGAGACAGCCAACCGAUAGCGUCUGAUUCAUUGUCACCACCGAUCGGAUCGAACUUAAUCGAGACAGCCUCGUUAGCAGGGCAAAGGAUCAAACGUGACAAAUUGACGAAUCUAAGUCUAAUGGGAUGAGGAUACAGCGAAAUCUCAACCAAAAACCACCAAUAAGAGUCUAUCGGCUAUCAGAGAGCACUUUUGCUGAUUUCUAAUGAUGCGAGAUGCAAAGCGACGUGGCGGAAUCAAAAGAUAAACUAAUCGAUAGAUCUUAAUCCAGGUGCGAUAACUGUAAUUCUAAACAAAUCGAGCAAGAGGUCAAAUAAUGCAACCUUACAAGAUAAGUAAAGAAAUGAUAACUGGUGAGCAGUCUAAUCUAAGCAAGAGGCCGAUACGACGCAACUUGAUUAGAGCAGAUUGAACUCGAUAAAUUGCACUAACAGAAACAAAAUAUACUGAGAAAGUCAUGAAUCUGAUAAUACAAUGACCGAUAAGUAGCCUCGCACUAACAGGUUCAAAAUAUCGAACUAAUCGAGAAAGUUUUGAAGCUGAUAACACGAUGACCAAGGGUGACGGAACUUACAAACUCGCCGGAGGUCGAAGCCAAUGCAACCUUGCGAACUCGCACAAAACUCGUCGAAAUCUACUCUACUCCUACUCCUAGAGUUUGGUGACACUAGACCGAAAAAGUAAAUUGUAUUGAUGAGUGUGUACUGUUUCUUUACAAUGCCAUGGUAGUAUAUUUAUACCCGAGGCUCAAAAGUCCUAAUCGGUCACAACUUGGCGCACCGGUACAAAAUAUUCUAAAAUAAAAGGAAAUACAAUCCUUUUUAGAUACAACUCCACUGUUUCCCUUAUUUAGUGGAGACUUCCUAGACAUGCUCCAGAACUUUUUGCAAAUCAUCAUCAAUAGCUUCAAGCCCGAACCGCUAUCGUCAUCAGCUUCCGCAUCCUGAUCGGCAUCGGCGCAUGCCUCCCGAUUGUCAUUGGCUUCUAAAUCCUCAUCGCCAUCGGCUCCCUUUAUCUUGGUCAAAAACUAGUGUCAACAGUAAUGGGCAUCGAGUCUGUUCCUGUAGCAUCCUGCUUUUUAGAGCAUUUAAAAAUAUGGACUUUCAAAUUUUUUUCUCUAAACAUAAAUUCCUUUUCUCAAAAUUAUUCAACUUCUUUUUACUUUAAAACUAAUUAAGCAUUGAACCUACAUGAGUGACGCAUUUGAUUGCUCUUAAGAAUCUAUUCCACCCCUUGGAAAUCCUAGAAACAUUCCCCUUCCCUAAAAUCGUAGAAAUAGUAUUCAAAUUUAAUUUGAAUAUUAACCUCAUUCAAACCCCUAUGAAACCACCAUUCAACCCCAGCCAUUCUCAAACAUUUCUAAUCUCUCUAGAAGUCCUACUUCCAAACUUUAGUCAAUCCUCCCAAGUCAAACCUUAUUUAGAUUUGAAACCCAAACCAAAUCUAAACUUAGAAACCUUUCAAACAAAAAGAUAAAGCCCUUCAUAUGGUUACCAGGCUGCUCUUCUUCUUUCUUUUCCCCCAACCUAGCUUCCCAUCGUCGGCCCGACUCGGCUCUUAGACUGGCCCGUUGACCUUCCCUCUCUCCAUGCACCGGCCCGCUGGCCACACCUGCACACGGUCCGGCUCCAGCCCAACGCACUCGCCUAUGGGCUGACCUGGCAGUCCACUUCGUCCACCAGCCCGGCUCGCAUGGCCAGCACACCCCAGCCCGCCUCCAGCGCCGCCUUCUCAGCCGCGCCGCUGCCGGAUGAUGCCCCCUCCCCAAACGCCGCCUCAUGUCGUCCAUUUGCCUUGUUGUUCACAUGAUUCAUUAAUUAUUUAUAAGUCUAUUUCUAAAUAAUUAAUGAACUACCCAUCGAAUAUCUGGGAAUUCAUCUUUAAAUGCCAGGUAAUUCCCAAAAUGCCCAUCAUCCUUCCUUCUCCAAUUCCUUAGGUUGGUAUUUGAUUGAUUGAUUAUUAGAUUGAUUCUACUACUGUGUGCUUAUGCUAGAUGGUAGAUGACCAGGCUCUGCUCCAAAGCUGAGGAACCAGAAGACUUGAAGCCAAGGACCUGAAUGCCCUACGAAACGCUAAGAAUCUUCAAUAAAGGCAAGUCCUGACUCUAGCUCAUGAUUUGCCCCAUUGAGCGUGAGAAUAAUAAUACUGCCAAUUUAAUAUGAUUAAUUGCAUUUAUUUUCUAGGGUAUUUUAAAAUGCGUGCUUGCUAGCUAUACCCAAAAAGGACAUAUUAGUCCUUUUUGCUAUUGAAAUGCCAUAAGCCAUAUUCACCCUAGGUAAAACUACAUACCCCAUAAACCCCUCCUAUGUAGAUACGCUAGGCAAGUCGAGUCACCCCCGUAUACGGGGAUAAUACUUGUUGGAUCCUCUAUGGAGAGGAUCCAACUCCUCAUAAAAUUUCAAUUUUAUAAGAAGCUUAGGAAAGGGUUUUCUAUUUUGGGAAGCAUAAGUUAAAAGAUAAAAUGAUAAUAAUAGCAACCCCUAGGGUGUGUUAUGGACUUAGGAGUAAGAGGAUGGCCUCAGAGGAGGGUAAUCCAUCCCAGAGCUUACUCCGGUCGCAUAAGGAUCGGUUCAUUGGGCAUGUCUUUCUUGUGAACUGUAUAGCCAUACGUGCUAAAAAGUUACAACCUUCGAGAGUGCCUGUUUAUGUGAGGCCUUGGUUCAAAGCUAUCGGGAGUGCCUAUUUAUGUGAGGCCUUGGUUCAAACCCCGCUAGCUGAACCUAAUCAUCCAUCCCAAGUGGCCAAGGUGGGAAACGGAGAUAUGCUGGAGCAAGACCUUCAAAUAGUCCUAGGUCCGAUUGGCUCGGGUUGACUGAGAGAGGGUCAGAGACCCUAAGGGCUAGAAGCCCUGUUUGAUUUAUUUUAUGCGCAUGUUCCCGGGAUGAGAUCCGCGAAGCGGAUGUUAGUGGCCCCUAUUUAGACCCAAUGUAUCCGUGGAUAUACCUAGGGAAUGCUAUCUAGAGAUGGACGCAGGCGGGUAUGGAUCUCGUAGGUCAGUACCGCCUUUUUGCGAGGGUAUGGGCUGAUCGGACGUAUGGGGAAGUGUACACCUCUGCGCAAUCUAUUCGAAUAGCCGAGGCUCACGGUUAUGAGCUCACUAAGUUAAAGUCCCCAUGAUUACUCUUUGGAAUUCUUUGGGAAAGGGAUUAGUGUGUUAGGAAAUACUGGAUGAAAGUCGUUGGACUGGAUUCCAAAAUAAAACUUGGGGACGGGUAGGGGAGGUAGUUUUCCCCCUUCAGGACCACAACAUUUAAAAUAUUGAAUAACAUAUUUACUAGAGAGUCCUUUCAAUUCUCAUCUUUUAACUCACCUUGCAUACAAGAGAUGCUUUAGACAUAGGAUAUACUUUUAAAACAUGCUCCUUGUCCACCUCCCAAAAUGCUUAGUAAUUGUUGGGACUUGCUGAGUGCCAACCAUAAGUGUAUUCAGUCUUGCUUUCAUCAUGUAGGUUUAGGUCUCCAGGUGCUACAAACCAUCUUGUUAGUGGAUGGGCACCACUUCGCUGCGCUAAGGUGAAAACUUUUCUUUUAUUAAAAUUUACACCUUUUAUUGCUUAAAAUAUUGAACUGUGAUGAUAACUUUAUUAGCCUACUAAUCCAGAAACUAAUACAGGUGAUCAACGGGACUCUCGGAGGGAGGUCCCCACAUUUAACCUUAUUGCAUUACAAAUGACCCAUUAUCGGUAACAGGCAAACCGCUCGUUACCGAUAAUAGCAACGAUGUAACGGCUACAAGGAUGUCCGUUACGAAUCUUGCAUUACCAAUGACAUCAUGAGGCUUUUUUUUUUCUGAGCCCACCUGUCCUAUCAUUCGUAACGGCAUCAGGCGACACCCAUUACCAAUGAUGCUGUCAUUCGUAACAGGCCAUUUAUGGAUUUUUUUAGGUUUUUCCGCCACACACUAGGUUCCACAAGUUGUGUGCAACGUAGAAUCCACGUAGAUUGGUCCCGAUGGUUGUUGCUCGCACUGCGUGGACCAAAAAAUGGUAAGAUAGAUAAAAUUGCAUAAAUUAAGGCAUUACUGAAUAGAAAGUAAAAUAUGUCAUUUGUUUGCUGUAACGUAUCGGGAAAUCCGUCUUAUGCCUGAGAUUGCGAUGAUUGUUCGUUCUUGGGCUUUGGUACUUUUUUUUGUAAGGUACUUAUUAGUAUGAAUAUAGAAGUUAUCUCCCUCAUCACUUUCAAAGUGGGAUUCAUAGAACUGGACACCAGUAUUCCCAACAUCAUUUUUAGAGGGUGACUUGUGUGGAUAACGAGGAAGUGGAGGUGCAUUAAUUAGAAGGUGGUGUGUCGGAGGUAGGAUGGUUCGUCCUAGGUGGAAUAAGGAUCCGCCCCCUUGGCCACUGUAUCCGCUGAAACAGGGAUUCACCAAGGUUUCUGACCUCAUACCGAUUGGGAUAGGCACACUAAUUGCCCCGCAUUUUGCCAUAUGGAAGUCGAUUUCACCACGGCAUAUCCAUACUUUACAGGUACUGUAUGUCACACCUGUUCAUGUGGAUAUACAGUGGCCCACGCAAGCUCCAUGCACUACAAGAAAUCUUCCGGUCUAUGACGAACCAAAAAGUGUCAUAAACAUGUUUUUUUCAUCAUAACCGUGAUUGCUGACACUCGAGUGACGAAAAUUCUCCGUCAUUAAUCAAGCGUCAUAAAUGGUGACUAGUAACGUUCCUUAUUUCGGUGCAUCGUUGCAUCUAUGACACCUACGAAAUCUUCAAUAGAAACAUCAUAAAUUGGCUCCUACUAUUUUGCCACGAUGGACAGAAUUUGAUGAUACAUUCAAUGUGGCAUGACAAUUAUGACAAAUUAUUUCGUUAUAAAAUGAAUUUGGCCCAUUUGUUGUUGGGUCGAGCCCAAAUUUGUUCCCACGGGCCAAUGUCGUUCCGAUAGCCCAAAAUUGAUUCUGGUAGCCCAUUUAUUGUUAGGUUGAGCUCAAAAGUUAUGCAUAUUGUUUGCGGUCCUUUUAAUUCCCGAAUUAUGAAUGAAAUAAACUUUUAGCCCUAUUAUAUGUGGGCUAAGCCCACAUAAGGCAGAUGUAAAUUUAACUAAUUAGGCCUGACAAAUAAUUGAUUUUAUCGAAAUUCCGAUCUGGUUGGCAAAAUAAUAAACACAACACACAUAUUGAUGUAUACAAGAAAACAAAUUGUUGUUCCCCAUAGGGACAACCACUACCAUAUUGUUCAUCACAUAUCUCAAACUAUCACAAGAUAACUGUCUCACAAAGAAUAGAGAUUAACAAAGCUGCAUCCAGGUCAUAAGCUCAAGAGACAAAGUAGAGCAUUGAUCUUAACCUCUAGCAGAGGUUAGUGAUUGAUGAAGGAGUGCUUCAGUAUCUUGUUCUACCUUCUUCGAGUUCUCAAUCUCGGCGGACUGCAAUUUGAGAGUUGAUUUCGAUUCUUCUAUCUUCUUCUUCAAGGUAGCUAACUCUUGCUUGUGAGCAACAAAUCGUUGUUGAAGUUGUACCCCAUCCUGUUUGUCGGCGUUAACUUGCUCCUCAUCAACAUUAUCACAUAAGGAUUUGGUAGAGCUUUUUGAGUACUCCGCUGCCACAUCACAUUCUUGUUUCUUGUUUCGCAAGAAGCACCAUUGAUUUGAGAACUUCUAGCUAGCAACAUUGGAUCUGAAGUCGGAUUGUGAUGUUGUAAUUGAUUUAAACUAACAAAAGAAGGAACAUCAAUAAUCAUCAUGUGUUUAGUUUGUCACCCUGGAGCUGGACUGAACAGGAGUGAUUACAGAUAUUGACCCUCUGGCCGGCUGAAACAGGAUACAAUCAAACUUCAAUUGAUGCAUUUGUUUAAGUAUAAAUUAAGAGCAGAUAAAUAAACAAGCACAAGAAGAUGUGGCAAAGGUUGAGAUCAUUUGCAAACUGAAACAAUUUUAUCUACUAAAUUCUACAAACCACAUUAACAAUUUUACUUGGCACAAAAAUAAUUAUUGGAAAAUGUGAAAGAUAAAAGGGAUCUCGUAGAGCAGUAUUUUUUCAGCAACUCUACCAAUAGGGUACAACAGAUCCACAUUCCCCAAUCUAACUCAAUAGUGAAAAACAAAGAGCAUGGGGAAGCAAUCUAAUAAUUUGAUCUAUUAAGUUCUACAAACCACAUAAAUAAUUUGACUUGGCACACAAAUAAUUAUUGGAGAAGGUGAAAGAUAAAGGGGAUCUGGUGGAGCAGUAAUUUUUCACCAACUCUUGCAAUAGGGUACAAUAGAUCCACAUUCACUAAACCAACUACAAUAUUGAAAGCCAAAGAGCAUGGAGAUGCAAUCUAAUAAUUGAAUUUAGCAAUACGGGGAGGAGCCUGCUGACCUGACAAACAUGGAGAGAAGGAGGUGCCAAAUGCCGCUUCAAUAGAGAAGCCCGGGAAUGCGCUGCUUCCUCGGUCUUCUUCGCACAUACUCGAGCACGGUAGCCGUCGGUGGCAGCCUCCGGGAAGUUGACGGAGUGAUGACCUCAAACCAUCUUGUAGCUUCAUGCCCGUCGCCAAGGAAGCCCACCGCUCAUCACCGAGGUAGCCCGCCACAAGUCGCUUAGGUCGCCCGUCGCUCGUCCAACUUGACGGCACCGCCGAGACUACACUUGCCACCGCGGCCGCAGAUCUACUAGGGAUAUUCAGUCGGAAGAGGAGAGGGGGAUGAUUUUGGAAUUACCAGGCGGGAUGUGGGAACCUUGGAUCCUUUCUUUUAUUUAUAUUACUAUAUAUAAUAGGGGAGGACCUGGAGGAGGAGCGGGGAAUUCAAAAUUUCAGAUUCCGCCUUUGUGCUCGGCAGCGGGAGAUGGAACUUUUUGAAAACCACCAUGAGACAUAGGUCACUUGCACAUUGGACCGCUUGGGACUGGGACCCAAGCAUUAGUGACCUUAUGUAGACGAGCGGUUCUAGAAGGGAGUCUGGGACAGUCCGUGGCAUCAUAAUAUUGAUGAGCACUCCAUGGAUUAUCCUCCUUUGUAGAUUCAUAUCUGUAGGAUGAUCCGACUAUUGCAUUCCAAAUGUGCUUCAGUGCAACAAAUUAAUUUACUAUUUUGACUGUUUAUAUGAUAAAAUACACUUAAAUAAAACAUUAAAACUACAGCUGAUCCGGGUGGCGGCCUCCUAAUCUCUACUCGACAUUCAUAGCUGCAAUCACGCGGAUCUUCUUGAUAACUUCGGGAUGGUGGUAACAUACAAACACAAAAUCCUCUGUGAGUAUUCCAUGUAGUGAGGUUAGCACUAUGAGAGACAUGCACUUCUCCUGCAAUUGGGUGUAGUUAGUCUCAAAUGCCCAUAGUAGAAAUGUGGUCACAAUUUCCACACACGCCAUGUCCCACAACUUUGAUGCAUAGAGCAGCUUCAACCGUUCGAUGCAGUACAUGUCGGCAAGUGAGAGUAACACGGGCCAAGCAUUGAUAGGGGUGUCCCAUAAAUCAACUUGCUCUGGGAGUGAUCCUUCGCAGGCAUAUUGAUUAGCAGCGAGAAGCCAUCAGGGUCAGCUUCUUUAAUUGAAACAAUUUCUACUUUGACUCCACUCUGUUGCCAUAGAGCAAUGCCUCCAUCACACUUGACCCGUCUCGCUCGAAUAGCUCAGCCGCCUAUGUCGAAGAUAACGUCAGGGGCUUGGGAUGCAAUUGUUGUGCAUAUGCUUCUACCUAUCGAUGGAGGUGGAACUUCAAUGCAGUCGUCCUCCAGUACUGAAAUAGUGCAGGAUAUGUCCCACACACGCUCAAUCUCAUGAUGCCCCACGAGGUAGUUAAAGCAUUGUUCUAGAUUCCCAUUUAUGAAUUCAAGUUCCUUUACACCUUGAACUCGAAACAUAUCAUCAUAAUCGGUUGGGUCUCCAGCCACUGCACGAAACAAGACUCAUACAUACGAGCAAGAAUGCACAAGGUUGACCAUGCAAGCGUAUAUGUGAGGAUGUGUAUUCAUAGCAAUGAGACUCCUACCUUUUACGCGCUGUUCAUCAGAAUAAGGAUGAUGAAAUUUCCUUCUGGUCCUGCUGGUGGGUACCACGGAUCAUGAAUACCCGUAGGAUAGCAACGUAUCCUCCAUUGAUGGCCUCUGAUCAUGAAUGUACUGGAUUCCUUGUAUUGCCCAAUAGUUCCUUCUGCUUUUGCUUCUGCGCUUGUGUCUGAGAAGUCAACUUGCGAUGAAGGGAACAUGUUAGUGUGUAAUGCCAUAGCUGCAAAUGACAAUGAUCGACAUGACCCUACAGUGUGCGGAUAAGCAUGUUGUUCUGGUAGUGGCAGUCGUGAAUGCCCAUUACCAGUCUUUAAUGGCCAGUUCUAAAAUGCAUUUUCAGUCUUGAUUCCCGGCCUUUGGCGGCAUUUGAUCCGUCAUAUUCCGCCUAGGCCUUGUCGCAUCAGUCAGUUCACAUUUUUCAGGCUUCGCUGGCAUGCGAGAAUCAUCUAGUGCGAAUCCAUGCACUUAGCAGACCUUUUCAACCACGCACCGCACAUAAGUUGGACUAGUCAUGACAUCCUGCACUGUGCGUCAAACAGCGUAAGGACUAUCUGACCUUACCGAUUUGUGCAACGUGCGAACAAUUAUUCUUUUUCUCCAGAUGUAGUUGAUGCUUAUAACUAUCACAAAUGAACGGUUGCAACAUCUUUCUUACAUUAAACUCACCAUCGAAAGGGAACCUAUCACUCAAUCACUCAUAAUCUCGCAUGAGUUGUUUUGCAAGAAUGUCUUGUGUUGUAUGUCGGCAUUCCAGCGAAAUGUACACAUGGAUAUGUCGUACUUUUCCUAUGACACCAGUCGUGCACACAUGUAACCGAUGUGCAAAACUGAAGAUUCCAACCUAGAUUCGUGGUAGGCUUAGGCUUGAAUAUAUUAUGAGCAUCUCACAUUUUUCAUUGUAACUUUGGCCUACCACGUUGAGCUCGUGUGCCUGCCAUAGUGCUCAAUAAAUAGGCGGGUGCACAGCAUUCUUGCAAGGCAACACCUACACUCAUCGGUUCCCCAUCUUGCAUUGUUUGAUUGGAGGUACACGUGGUCAUUUUCUUCUCUAUCUCAUUUACUAUAUGCAUGGUAUUGAUAUGGUCAGUAUUGUAAUCAUAUGGUGCAUUUGUUCUUCAUUUGUGUAUGUAGUGAAGAAUGGCCGGACAUGGAAGAGAUGGAGCAUGGAACUUUGAGGAGCCAGAGAAGCGGGAGUAGCCUGCCCCCAUGGCACCUCAGUAGCACCUAGUUCUGAUGGCACCUCCAUUUCAGCCACUGGCAUCGGCACCUCAGCAGCACCCUGUUCGCAUGGCACCUCCGACUCAGCUGCUGGCAACGGCACCUAAGAUUACCUGAACCUCAUGGCACCACCUUUUUACCUGCGGCCUAGAUCACCACCUCUGCUGCUACCCAAUGAAAUGCCACCUCUACGGCCAGUCCUGAUCGAACCAGAUGAAUCGCAUGAGUUAAAAUGGUCUAUGUUGUCUUGGGUUCAGCAGUCUGGGGUCGAGCGUGUUUGUCUCCAGGGUAUGUUGGUCUGCCCUUUCUACUAGAUUGGUCACAGGCAAUGGACCAUUCAUGACCUUGUGUUCCAUGCACCUACCAUCACCAUUUGACCUGCGUGGGUGUGGGAUACUAGGGCGAUGCAUCUUGCUUUAGAAGAGUAUCUGUGCCAAGAUGGCUGUUUUGCUGAAUUUCGUCAUGUCACAGGGUUGCUAUGAGCCCAUGAUGGUAGUAGUAUGUCAGUGCACCACUUGUAUGCCUAUGUUUGUCAUGCUUCGUUAGUUGGAGUGUGUCAUUGUACCGACAGUGGAUGCAUACCUAUGUAUCCUUCAUUCCUAUGUUAGAGUGUGUCGUUGUACUUGUAUCGACAGUGCAUCUGUCAGCUAGGCACCCCUGGGCUCACCAGAAGACCUGUACGGACCCACUCAAGGGAACGUAGCCGAAACCUACUCGGACAUUAGACUACUCUACAGGGCGCGUAGGCUUCAUGGACUCCUCGAAGACUAGUCGGGACAAAUGGAAACUACUCUACCGAGUUAGAGUAGGACUCUAUAACGUACUCGACUAGGACUCAUACACAAUCUGCCCUGUAACCCUGCUCCCCCAGCUAUAUAAGGGCGAGCAGGACCCCCUCCAAACAACUCAACUCAAGUUCAAUACAACCAACAAACAGGACAAAGGGUAUUACGCGAUCUAGUGGCCCGAACCUGUCUAAAUCGUGUUCCUUGCAUCACCAUCAACUCCUUGAUUCUCGACGACACCCACCGCACAAAAGACCACCUUGGGUACUCCCUAGGCGGGUUGUAGGUCUAAAACACCGACAGCUAGCGCGCCAAGUAGGGGUAGUCGCUGAGUUUCUCCGCGCAAGAUUGAUGGCACCAGUCAUCAUCAAGCUUGCUUUCACCUUUGAGGUGGGCGCAACCUUCAUCUUCGGCUCCUGGCUUUGCAUCGUUGACGGUGCUGGGUCCUUUCAACACUGCAUCAUCGGCAACUAGGAAAAGAAGCAUCUCGACGAAAACUUUCUUCAUCAAGAAGCAGAGAAUCUCGUCGAGAAAAGCCAAAAUUUCAAUGUCAACAACAUUGAGUUCGACUACGGCUUGGACUCGACCUCGACUCGGACUAGCCCGCACAGGCUGAUGCCCAAGUCAUCCCGCAAGUCGACUUCAACUCCAAGUCGAUUCGUGCUCGGACUCCGCAACGCAGCCGCGGUCCACCAAGAACUCCUCACUCAAGUCCAAUUCGAACUCGAGUCAGUUGAGGACUGCAAUUGCGACUCAGACUCAGUCCAAGAGAUCCCUUUAUCAAGCCCAGCUCAAGGCUUGGUAAUUACUUCGACUCUGCAUGGCAGAUUCAUUUAUUGGCCUGGGAUGAAGCCAUCGAUCCUAGCCCAAGAUUAUGAGUCAUGCCUUGUCGCUUACAUAGACAACCUCCCAUAUCAAGAGGGUAUUUCGCUUACUUCAACCUGUGAAGAAGAAAGCACUAUAGAGAUUUCAACAUCAAGCUUUGGAAGCUACUACUCAGACAGAGAAAUCUUUGUCAUCACAACACCAAACAACGAUGCAGAUGCUAGCCAGCAAAAAACUCCUCGACGGGUUGGACAACUCGAUGACGUUUCACAAGAUGAAUCAUCAGCUAAUGCCCCACAAGAUGAAACCCCUGAACAGAGAAACCAAAGAAGGGCAUGCAAUGCUACCCGAGCAGAUCGUUGUGGACUACUAGCCAUGAACAUUUCUAUUGUGAACCUCGAAAGAGCAUUCGACGCAGUGCAAGCUCGAGAACACAACACUCCACUCGCAGCAAUUGCCUCAAUCAAUCUCAUAUCAACUCUCAUACCUCGUGAUAGAACAACGAGUUAACAGCACAACUCGCGGAAAGGGGCAACGAGUUAAUAGCACAACUUGCAGAACAAGGUUACAAACUACUCGACAAGGAAUCGCCAAUCCCAUCUAUCCCUCGCAACUCGGCCUACCAGGAAGGCAGCAGAGAUGUUGCAGUCUACAAUGGCAAUCGCAAGUGUAACAGCUGCCAAUUUAGUCAUCUAAGUGACUUUGAAGAAUUAAAAGCAAAUUGAGAAGAAAAGAAAAAGAAAUUGGCCAAAAAUCAAAUUCGGGUCAAAUUUGACCGAAAUUUGAAUUUUGAAUUUGAAAUUCAGAAAAAUUCGGCAAAAAUGUGGAAUGCAAGUGUGAGAGUGAUUAGAACUUAGGGAUCAAGAAUUUGGAACAAAAAUGGUGCUAAAUAGCUCAGAGAAAUCAAAGAAAGAAAAAGGAAAACUAAAGUUACUGUUCCUCGUCUGAAAAUAGAAUUUCAGAAAAACAGUCUCAGAGUCCAUUUUGGAAAUUGAUUUCUGAAGAAUUUUCCAAAUAAGUGCAUCAGAACAACUAUACCAUAUUGAAGUAUGAACUUUGGACUACAAGAUUCGGGUGUUGUUGGCCAGGAACAGUGAAGGGAAGGAAUUCAAAUUCAAGCUCAAAGUCGGCAUCUUGCCACUGCAAAGGACAUCACUGAAAUCGGUUAAGUCUGAAAACAGCAGCAUAGGGUCAACUUUGGACUCAAAUUCAGAGCAAUGUAGAUCAAAAGGUGUGCAUGUUCAUGAGCAAAAUGGAACCUUGGGAUGUUGUAGAACACGUUUGGGAAGAAGUUGGACUUAAAGGAAGAGAAUUGGAUCACUAAACUCGAGCACAAAGUGAGAUAAGUGGUACUGUCAUUAACUGACGAACUGAAACUCGAAGUUCAGUGAAAAUUCAGUUGGAGCCGAGAAAAGAAUCCAAAUUGCACUGUAUUGGAUGUUUAUCUUGGGGUAGAACCAAAAUAAAAGUUGGAGAAUUCAAGAUUAUCUACAACAUUGGUUAAAACACAUGUGCACCGUCGGAUUGAGAAUCGGCCACGGUGGAGCUCUGAAGAUUUUGGGCAUCAGGAAAAAGAAAAGGGGCGAUGACAGAGCAGCUGGACGUGUCGCUGCCGCCGUCGUCGGUCGCUCGCCAGCGCGUCUAGCUAGGCCACCUCCUCACCACAUAAGCCUACGGGUAGGCCACGGUGUCGCCCAUGCGCGCGGUGAACGCUUGAAUAACUACCGCUCCCGCGCCGCCGUUUUCACCGCCGUUCUUUUUACCGCCGCCAGCGCCUCCUCUGUCAAGCACCGCCGCCGAGCAAAAUUCCACCGCCACACCGCAGCUCCCGUCAAUUCCUUCUGUCCACACCUCCGCCUACACCCCACCAGCAACCUUAGCAACUUGUUGCCCAGCUUCUUCGCCGUCACGCCUUGAACCGCCACCGCUUCUGUUCGCCAUCGUCGCGCCGCCCGCUCAUGGUGAGCCCUACCCUGCGCUGCUCCCCUUCCUUCUUAAGUAGUCGUAGGCAAGUCCUUAGGGUCCUAGGAUGGUGUAAGGGUAGUUGUUUGAGUAGAUUGUGCUGUUGUCGUGAGUGGUCACGACCGGCCGAAGGUGUUGCCGCCCGUCGCCGUGGAGGGGAUGGCUCCGGCCAUCUCCCGAGGAGCUGUUGCCGCGCACGGGUGCGUGAAGGUCUAAGUAGGUCUAAGGAGGUCGAUCCACAUCUAGAAUACAUGCAACAAUCUCAUGUCUAAGGACAAAGCGUAUAUGUUGUUUAAAGAAGGAACUACUUCUCGUGUUGGGUCAAUCCUAGCACAUGUCUCCACAUGUGUCCACAUUAUUAGUUCAACAUCUCCAUGUCCAUGACUUGUGAAACAUAGUCAUCAACUAAUACAUGUGCUAGUCUAAUAUUCAUGUGUGUCCUCACAUGAACUCCGACUAGGGACAACUUUAGAAUAACCAUACAAGUAAAGAGUUUCACAUACAAUUCACAUAAUUGCAAAUCAAUUCAAGUAGCCUUUAAUGGAUAUUCAAUGAACACAAUAUACAAAUCAUGGAUACAAAUGGAAUAUCAUCAUCUCUAUGAUUGCCUCUAGGGCAUACCUCCAACAGUUUCUCCCUUCCAUUUUGGACUCCACGACGAGCCGUCUAUGUUGUUCAAAGCUGAUUCAGGUUCAAAUCCCGAAGCUGAUCCACCUGCCACCCCGCACACGCAGUCUGAUGCGCCGGUCGAAGCAGAUUCGGUCUCCACCUCUCCCGCAUCGCUAGCUUCUGCAGUCUCCUCUGCGCCGCACCGGCCUCUAACAACGCCUGUCCCGAGAUCUUCUACGGCCACUGACGCUCUCCCAGUUGCGCCUCACUGAUCUAGUGCUCCCACUUCUGGAUCAUCUGCACCAGACAAUUUUGUGGCUUCCCCCGGUUCACCGUGUUUUCCUCCCUCACCUCCGAGACUCGUGCGACACCUACAUGCUCCGAUUUGGCCUCAAACACAUCUGCAGAAUAAUAUUCGCAAACCCAAGACUUUUACUGAUGGCACCAUGCACUAUUAACUGCUUAGUGAAGCUACUGAACCUAGCUCGUUACGAGAAGCCCUUGUGUCUGAUGAUUGGAAAGUUGCGAUGGAUGUUGAGUUUGAUGCUCUUCUAAGGAACAAUACCUGGCAUCUUGUUCCUCUGGCCGCUCAGAAUGUCAUUUAUUGCAAGUGGGUUUAUAAAGUUAAAUGUCGUGCUGAUGGCACUGUGGAUCGCUACAAAGCCAGACUUGUAGCUAAGGGUUUCAAACAAAGGUACAGAUUGGAUUAUGAGGACACUUUUAGUCCCAUUGUCAAGGAUGCUAGAAUUCGUCUUGUGCUCUCAUUGGAUGUUUCAAACAAAUGGAGUAUUCGUUAAUUGGAUGUUCAAAAUGUAUUUUUACAUGGUGUUAUGGAGGAGGAUAUUUAUAUGAAACAACCCCCUGGGUAUGAAGAUCAAUCUCAUCCUAAUUUUGUCUGCAAGCUAGACAAAUCUCUCUAUGGUCUUAAGCUGGCCCCCCCGAGCAUGGUAUUCUCGUUUAAGCACCAAGUUGCAAGAACUCGGUUUCCAUGGGUCCAAGGCUGAUACAUCAUUAUUUUUCUUCAAGCGAGGUGAUGUGGUCAUCUACCUUCUUGUUUACGUUGAUGAUACCAUAGUAGUCAGCUCAUGUGAUGCCACCAAUGAUCGCUUGUUAAAUCAACUUUGUGAUGAUUUUGCUCUUAAAGACCUUGGUCCUCUUCACUAUUUUUUGGGCAUUGAAGUACUAUCCUGUCCCGGUGGUGAGUUAUUAUUAAGUCAGUCCAAAUAUGCUAAGGAUCUAUAUUGCUCAAAGCUGGCCUUAAGGAUUGCAAACCGAUACCUACUCCUUUGGCUGUUUCGGAAAUACUUUCUGCAAUUGAUGGUGAUCUGUUGGAUGAUGCUACAGCCACCAGAUAUCGGAGUAUUGUUGGCGGUCUUCGAUAUCUCACACUUACGCGAGCUGAUAUUACAUUUGCUGUUAACAAAGUGAGUCAGUACCUACAUCGGCCUACUUUUGUGCAUUUUGCUGCCAUCAAACGGAUUAUGCAUUACGUCAGUGGUACACUUCAUAUUGGAUUGAAAAUUGGUCACUCUCCUUCUCAGCUCAUUAGUGCCUUUUCGGAUGCGCACUGGGCUGGGUGUUUUGAUGAUCGCAAGUCUACCGGUGGUUUUGCUAUUUUUCAUGGUGCCAAUCUGAUUUCGUGGCAAGCAAAGAAACAAGCUAUUGUUUCUCAUUCAAGUACGGAAGCUGAAUAUAAAGCAUUAGCCAAUGCUACUGCUGAGGUCAUUUAGGUUCAAUCUCUUCUUGAUGAAUUGGGGAUCAUCCAGUCCAAGGCUCCUAUUUUAUGGUGUGACAACAUUGGUACGACUUAUCUAUCAGCCAAUUUGGUGUUUCAUGCUCGCACUAAACAUAUUGAGGUGGAUUGCUACUUUGUUCGCGAAAGGGUUGCUCAGAAGCAAUUGGAUAUUCGGAUUAUUUCUUCAGCUGAUCAAGUCACUGAUGGUUUUACAAAGGCUUAGCUCAUGCGCCGGUUACAAGAAUUUAGAAACAAUCUCAAUCUUGCAAGUGGCUAGAUGAAUUUAGAAACAAUCUCAAUCUUGCAAGUGGCUAGAUGCGUUGCGGGUUGAGAUUUGGGGGGGGGGGGUGCGGGGGAGGUUAGAAGUAAUUGUAUAGGAUAUGAACUUAGAGUCCUUCUCAUGUAUGUACAUGUCUCCUACUAGGAGAUUGCCUUGUAUCCUAUCUUUGCCAGACUACUCUCACCGGCCUAUAUAAUGAAGCAUUCCGGCGCCCCCCAAGGGUAAGCCGUUCCAAUCAAUUUUACACUCGCGUUGUGCGUGCCGGCGUGAAAACCUCACUACGGGAGACAGAACUUUUGCCGAGUGCCUGGGGCACUCGGCAAAGGCAUGAAAACACUCGGCAAAGCCUUUGCCGAGUGUAACACUCGGCAAAGGGCACACGGCAAAUAUUGUGUCGGCAAAGCCUAGUUUGCCGAGUGUCAAAACUCGGACACUCGGCAAACAUGUUGCCGACGGCGGAAACACACUCGGCGAACAUAUGGACUCGGCGAACCGCGGACUAACGGCGUCGGACUAACGGCGAGUUUGCCGAGUGCCAAACGGGAGGCACUCGGCAAACACCUAGGCUUUGCCGAGUGUUGGCACUCGGCAAAGUCAGGGAGUUUGCCGAGUGCCACGCGCCUGGCACUCGGCAAAGCGUCCUGUGUGUGCCGAGUGCCGGCUCCGGGGCACUCGGUCAGUUCGACGCCGUGUGUGUGCGGCAAACCGGCCCCCUUUGCCGAGUGUAACGACCAUAGCACUCGGCAAAGGGGCCUGUCCUACACCUGGGAAAUUCCCCUUUGCCGAGUGCUAUGGUCAAGGCACUCGGCAAAGGCCCCUCUUUGCCGAGUGUAACACUCGGCAAAGUGACCAGAACCGCCCCUUUUUCGAUAUUUUUCCACGUAUAACGGACCCCUCCCAAUUCACAAUACACAUAUCACAGGCAUUUGUAAUAAACAACCACAUGGAUAAUUCACAACCACAGGCACAAUUCAUAAACAUCACAGGCAUAGUUCAACAUAAGCACGAAAUAAUCCAUAAAUCCAAGUUCUUCUCACAAUUUAGUUUCCACAUUGUUCACAAUCAAGUCUACAUCCGUGGAGGCCAAGGAGACCACUGCGACAAAUCUUGAUCUUCAUUAUUCGAAGCUGCCGAUUGAUUCUGCACAUAGAAUAGGACAUUCUAAGGUAACAUCUAAAGUUGUCAAAUUUAAACUAUUGAAACUUAAGCACAAUGUGUAAAGUGACUCACAGGAGUAGUCGUGGGUGGCUGAGGCGGAGGGAACAUCAUCGGCGGUGGCGGAGGCAAAGACUGUCCCAUGCUCGUAGCAAAGUUCUGCAUGUACUGGAACAUCUGCUCCAUCCUAAUCCGGUUUUCCUCCUCCAACCUCCGCCGCAUUUCAUCCAUCUGCGCCGCCAUCUCCGCCUUAAUCUCCUCUUGUGCCUUCCUUGAUUCUUCCACCUGGGCCUACAAUAUUUCAUUGCAAUGUUAUAAUGCAAAGCUAAAGUAUAACAACAAACGAACGAUGAAUGGAAGAGAAAGAACCUGUAGAGCCUCCAUCUGGAACUGCGCAGCGGUGGGUCGUGGGCGUACCGCCGGGCUCGAGUCCGUGCUCCUAGCUCGGAUCUGGGAGAGAGUGGGAGUAGAGGCCGUGUCGAGGACGCCGUCGCCAAUCCAAUAUCGGCCAUGCUUCUUGCCUCCUCCCACCCUCAUCACGAUUUCUCCAUCAAUGUCCUCGGAGCUCGGAUCGAAGUCUGGCCCGUGAACCUCCCUAGCCAUCUUUGUAUACUCGCUGACGCGGCUGUAUAUGCUAGGGUGGCUGUACGCCUCGGACGGGUCGUCUGGGUUGAAAUCUAUAUCGGCCGUCGCCUUGCCCUUUUUGGAGAGGACCCAUGCCUUGAGCUGGGAGCAAGGUCGGCCAUCAUGUGACGCCGACUGCGGCAAAAUACAAAAUCAUUAAAAAUUACGUAGAACUGAACGUUACAAUAAAGAAUUGAAGUUGCGUACCCAUUUUUCUCUAUAUUCAUCAAGGCUUAGGCUGCCUUGAUGGUGUGAUGCAGUCGGCAUCUGCAAACGCCGCUGCCGGCAAGAAAGGUGGGUCUCCAACCACCCGGGCUCCAACCACACGUCGACCAUCCUCUCCCAGCACGGCAUAUGCGCACGACACCACCACGGAGGCACCUACAUCAUCAAGCGUGUGACGUAUGAAAAAGAAAAUGAGCCUAAUUAAUCAUAAAUAGUAUGGAUCAACGUUCUUUACUUACCAUCAUGAAUUGAUCCUUAGUCAGGUUCAUUGUUCUUGCCUCCUCUUUUCUAACCUUCGUAUGAUUGUAUUGAGCGUUGAACUCUAUGAUGGCCUGGAUGCGCGCCUCGUAAUGCAUGUCCCUCACGAGCUUCUUGGCGGCUACAUCACAGACGGCCUUCGCCUUGGCCUCGAACCCCUCCUGGCAUCUAUAGAAGUCCUGCAUAUACACACGUAAACCGUUAUUAUUUCAAGAAUGUCGAAAGUAGCUGAUGUAUUGAGCAAUUUAGUACGAGGAGUACUUACCCACAGCUCGGCCUUGACCCGCUCCGCUAUGUUGGGGAAUCUUCUUUGUUGACGAUCAGGGACGUCGGGGGCGGCGACGUAGUGGUCCCACGUGUAGGCCGGCUGCAGCUGUCCGGCGUACACCACCAAGCCAGGGAAGUGAACCCUGCACAAAAGGCCAAGGAUACCGUUGGCCUUACGGUUGUGGUCACCCCCGCUGAGCUUAACCCAACUCCUGCACAAGUAAUUAAUAUGAAUUAUUAGUUUUUGUAACUUACAACAUAAGAACAAUUUUAAGAAUAUUUAAAGUUACUUACUUGAUCCCAACCGGUUUAAUGAGCGGGCGUAAAUGCUCAGGUAUCGGCCGCUUCGGGAGGGAUGAGGGACCUCGCAACCAUAUCUUGGCCUGGGUAUCCCCUGCCUCCCCAUCCCCCUCCUGCUCGUGCUGCUCCUCCUCCUCCGCCUCCUCGUCCCCAGAGGAGUGUGCGGAAGGUACCUCCUCCUCCUCCUCCUCCUCCUCCUCCUCCUCCUCAGGUUUAGGCGACGGGGGCCUCGCCGCUUUACCUUUCCCUCGAGGCCUCUGGACCACCUCCUGCUCCUCCUCCUCCUCCUCCUCCUCAACCCUACGUCGAGGCCUGCCUCGACGCCUCCCUCGACCACUCCCUGAACGUGACCCUGACCCUGAACCAGUCCCUGCCGCGGCCAGUCUCUCGCAAAUCGACGUGAGCUUCCUGAUACCGCCCACCAUUGCUUAAUGACCUGCAAUUAAAAAGAGUACACGAGUCAGCAUAGGCAAACAAAACAUAAUUAGAAAUAUAUGCAAAUUACAAGUAAUUAUAGCUAAAUUAUUACGAAUCAUACAUGUAUUAGAAAUAAUCAUCAUGAUCGGGAUUAGCUGGAUCAUAAGUCUCAUCAUCACUAUCACGCGUGUCGAUAUAGUCAAGCUCGUGCUCCGAAGAAGAAAUGUCGUCAUCACUGUCAUUAUCUAACUGUAAUCGUUGAAGUAAUUCUAAAUCCUUCACAUUCUGAACCUCGUCUCCACCGUCUUCUGCAGCAACCCUCUCGUUGUCUACUUCCAUUCCGAUCGCUUCGGUUAAAUCUAUCACAAAACUCCCUUCGAGCCCAUCUUCUUGGAAUAACUCUCCUUCGUACGUGUCGGGGUCUAUAUUGUAAUCUUCAUUGUUUGGUACAGGUAGUUUACCGUGUGGUGAUACCUUGUACACAACAUCCCAACCCUUAAGACGGCUGUCGGUUUGGCACGGGUAUGACAAAUAAUAAACUUGCGUGGCCUGUUGAGCCACAAUAUAGACAUCGUCUCCUGGUAACCUGGAUGACUGUCGAAUUUCGACUAGCCCAAGGUUAGGGGCCCGUCUCACGACAGAUGGAUCAAACCAAUGGCAUUUGAAUAUAACUGGAUUAAGAGGUUUACACCCAUGAAAAGUGAGUUCGUAUAUUUCUUCAAUUCUUCCGUAGUACUCGACUCCAUCGGAGCCUGGCGUGAAAACUCCGGUAUUUGUGGUUCUUCGAUUGGGCCGACUCUGCUCGUGCCUUGUUGUGUGAAACCUAUAUCCGUUGACGUCAUAACCGGCAAACGACAUGACCCUAUAGUCACAGCCAUCGGCAACCUGUCUCAACUCGGCAUUCAUAGACGCAUCGAUUCGGCCCUGCAAGUACGAACAGGGCGGUUCGUUAUAUUAAUCGUAUGCACGAGUAUCUAGAAUGUUCGCGGAAAUGAAAUUUUACCUUCUGUUUGAACCAAGAAAUGAAAUCGGGCAUUCCAUUUCCCGCACCCUCUUUAAGAAGAGUCUCAGCUUCGUGCGGGGUCGGUUGCCUUGAUUUACGCCAGAAUUGACGAUGAAAUUGCCUAUGCCAACGAGAAAGAUACGUUUAGGCAAGAGAUACCAUUAAUACGUCGAAAUAAGUUUGUCGAUGACUUACAUCAUGUACGGCUCCACUUCAGAUAGGUUGGUCAACACAUAUAGCAUGAUAGAGCGCCACUCUUCAUGAUUAAGGGUCUUGCGGGUCGCACCACUUGCACUUCCGAGUUGCCCUCGGAAAAUACUAAGGCUUAAUUCAUCUUCGCUAGCAUUGUAACGAGGAGGUGGAUUAUGCACACUAGGAAGGUUCUCAGCGUAGUAUUUCGAUGUGAAGUUUGACACCUCCUCCAGAAUGUAUGCCUCUGCAAUGGAUGCUUCAAUUUUGCACUUAUUCUUACAUUUAGUUCGAAGAACCUUUUGACAUCUCUCAAUUGAGUAGCACCAACGACCCUGCACAGGCCCCCCCAUUCGUGCUUCAUACGGGAGGUGUAGAAUCAUAUGCUGCAUUGGAUUGAAGAACCCUGGAGGAAAGAUCUUCUCCAACUUACAAAGCAACACAGGCGCCAUUGUUUCCAUUUCUGCAACCACGGUACGAGAUAACUCCUUCGCACAAAGCCGGCGGAAGAAAUUGCUCAACUCCGCUAGCACCUGCCACACAUGCUCAGGGAAAUAGCCUCGAACCAUCACCGGAAGGAGGCGCUCAAGCCAUAUAUGGUAAUCAUGACUCUUGAGCCCGUUGAUUCGCAUAGUUGCUAAAUUCACUCCCCUCUUCAAGUUCGCUGCAUAGCCAUCAGGGAACAUUAAUGUUUGGAACCAUUCUAGAACCUCCCUCCUUUGAGCCCUCGUCAGAACGAAAUCGGCCUUAGGCUUCCUCCAUGACUUGCCAGCUCUUGGAGGCGCCAUGUUUAGCUGUGGUCUGUUGCACAAUGUCGCUUGAUCCACUCUAGCCUUAACGUUAUCCUUUGUCUUGUCAGGAAUGUCCAUUAUAGUACCAAAAAUUGCCUCGGCGAUAUUUUUUUCCGUGUGCAUUACAUCAAUGUUAUGUGGAACAAGGAGAUCAUCAAAAUAUGGAAGCUUCCACAAGCACGACUUCUGCGUCCAAGCAUGUUGCUCGCCAUAUCCUAAAAAACCACCUUCUUCAUUAUUGAACUCAAGAGCGUCUAACUGAGCACGAACUGCGGCCCCUGUCAUCAUCGGCGGUGCGGGGGCUGUAACUACAACAUCUUUGGUAAAGUUCUUCAUGUCUCGUCUAAAUGGAUGGUCAGGAGGGAGGAAUUGUCGAUGUUUGUCGAACGAUGAAUAUUUGCCCCCUUUCGACAACCAAAUAAACUUCAAAGAUGCUUUACAUACUGGGCAAGGGAACUUCCCGUGAACACACCAUCCGGAGAAAAUCCCAUAUGCCGGCAAGUCAUGCAGUGAGUACUGGUACCAAACAUGCAUCUUGAAGUUUGUCUUUGUGCAUCGGUCAUAGGUCCAUACCCCUUCCUCCCAAGCACGGAGCAAAUCAUCAAUCAGAGGCUCCAUAUACACACUCAUAUUAUUUCCCGGAUGCUCUGGAAUUAUCAACGACAAGAAUAUAUUAUGUCGUUGAAAUAGGACGCCGGGUGGGAGAUUCAGUGGGAUAACGAAAAUGGGCCAACAGGUGUACGGGGCGGCCGCCAUUCCAUAGGGAUUGAACCCAUCAGUUGCCAACGCAACGCAUACGUUACGGGCCUCUACAGCUUUUGCAGGAUAAAUCGCAUCAAAGCUUCUCCAGGCUUCAGCAUCGGAUGGGUGUACCAGCUUCUCUGGAUUAUAGCGACGGCCAUUUUUGUGCCAUGUCAUCUGUUUCGCGGAUUCUUCAGUCAUGAAAAGCCGUUGGAUCCUCGGUAUGAAAGGAAGAUACCGUAGAACCUUCACAGGAAUUGCGAGCUGCUUUUUCUGACCGUCACCAGAAUCAACCUCCAGAAAUCUAGACGAUUCACACUUCACACAGUAUUUUGCUUCCGCAUACUCUUUCCUAAAUAAGAUGCAUCCCUUCGGGCAUGCAUGUAUAUGCUCGUAUGGCAUCUUAAGUGCACGAAGGAGUUUCUGUGCCUCAUACAUGCUCUUUGGCAAGAUGUGACCAACCGGGAGCAGGCUUCCAAAAACUGUCAACAUAAUAUCAAACGCGUCUCGACUCAAACUAAACUGAGACUUCACAGCCAUUAGGCGUGCAAUGGCAUCUAGCUGAGAAACCUUGGUAUGGCCGUGAAGGGGUUGCUGUGCCGCAGACAACAUUUCGUAAUAAGCCUUAGCGGUAGCCUCUGGCUCCUCCUCCCUACGUGCCUCUUCGAAGUGUGCUUCAUGAAAGUCAUUCAACAUAUCUCCCACCCCGGCAUCAUCAUCAAAUUCCUCGAUUCGUUGUCUCAAGACCUCCUCUCUCCCACGGUCAGAUUCACCAUGGUAGAUCCACCUGGUGUAGUCUGACGUAAAUCCGUUCUUCACCAGAUGUUUGCCCAUCUCCAGCUUGGUUUGCCGACGCAUGUUUCCACAUUUGCUGCACGGACACCAAGUCGAUCGAGCUCCAUUGACACUUGCAAACGCCCGUUCCAAGAAAGCAUCCGUCUUGUCAAGCCAUUCAUUGGUCAACGUAUUCUGACUAGUUCGACCCGUGUACAUCCACUGACGAUCCUCCAUCCUCUACCAUUUAAAUACGUAAUACAAAAUUCACAUGGCAUAUACACGCUCCUAUAUUGUCUACUAGGUAAAGAUAGGUCCUAAUCCCACCCGAGGAUGUGUAGGUCUGCCAUAGCUCCAUGGGAUGCAAGUGAUACCAACCCUCGUGAGGGCCAUCUGCCCGGGCCGAGGGUACCUUCUUUGCAUGCAAGACUUCUGCCACGACUUCUCUCCUGUAUCUACACGAGUACCCGCGCGGUAUUAACUUAGGAAACAUUUGAGCAUCACUCCUCUCGGCGCAUUAGCUAGAGCUUGGAGGUUACAUUUCGUGCAGUCUGAAAAUGAAGAGAACUACAUGGGUAACACCAUCUUUUGAGAACAACCUAGCCAAAAAUUUGGUUCUUUGCUACGACAGUCCAUCAAAAUAACUCAUUUGAGAUUCAAAGAGAGAUGCCUUUACCCGCUACUCCAUCCAUCCUAAUAUGUAAAACCGCCGGACAAACUUGACACGGUAUGCAAUGCUCACAUUUGAUGCCUAAUGCCAUGAAACCAUCAGAAUUGAAGGGAUGGAAACUUGGAACUGGGCUAAGGACAUUCUCAAUGCAGGUGUCAUAUGAGUAUGAUACACAGUUAAUAUCAUGACAUAUAGGAACUACUGAGGACAUGGCAUGUCAUUUAUGAGGCAGAGAAGAACAGAGGUUCGUGAGGAUGAAACUUCUGUACACACUUACGAAGAUCAUGACACUGCUACGAAACUNNNNNNNNNNNNNNNNNNNNNNNNNNNNNNNNNNNNNNNNNNNNNNNNNNNNNNNNNNNNNNNNNNNNNNNNNNNNNNNNNNNNNNNNNNNNNNNNNNNNUGAUCUAGCACUCGGCAUACCCUUUGCCGAGUGCUAGAUCCGGGGCACUCGGCAAAAGCUGUUUUUCCCCCGAAACACCGCAGUGACACUGCGACGUGGACCCGAGUGCCCUAUUUGUGACUUUGCCGAGUGCCCUAUUUGUGACACUCGGCAAACCAUCCCUUUGCCGAGUGCCCUAGGUAGCACUCGGCAAACACCUACCUAUAUUGCAUGUCCAACACCACUUUUAGUAAUUAAAAGGACGUAAACUUUGUGUAAACCUAGUCCAAUUCACUAAACAUUGCGUAUUUCAUUUUUUAAGUAAUAUUGUACCAUUAUUUCAUGGAUUUAUAGCUCAUAUUUAAUUUAUAUCUAUUAAAUUCAUAUACGUCCAAUUAAUGAAUAAAAAUUACCAAACGGAUCUGAAAAUUUCCCAAAAUUUGACAUGAACCUAUCUAUGUUCUCUAUAGCCUAUAAAAAAAAAUUUGGACUCAAUGAGAAUUAUAUUUAUCGAUUCAUCUCAAAAUCUUACCGGAUCCUUUGAACUUCUCUGAAACCUCUCCGGAGAUGCUUCGAAUUGUAAACAUCAUAUGUCAAAACUUGUGCGAAACCUUAACAAUUUUUUACCACGGCCUCUGCAUACGAAAUCAAAGCAUCUUGCAAAAUCUCAUGAUUUUCAAACUUCGUUUGUAUUUUUUAGAAUUAAACAAUCAUUUGGCCACACGUUCGUAGUCGUGUUUCCUUAGCAACAUGUUCGAAAUUUCUUUUCAUUUUCUGGGUGAGACAUCAAUUUAGACUCACUAACAUGAAUAUGAUUUUUUCACUCAUAUUAUUCCAUUAUUCCAACCACCUGCAGUUCAAAUUUGACUUAAAUCAAAAAAUUACUCUAAAUGAAAUUAAUUGAUUAAAUAUAGCAAACAGGUCAAAAAAUAGUCCAUCUUCUACAAUGCAGUGCAAAAUGCCAUACAUGUGGAGUGUAAAAAGUUUGGAGGGUGGAGGAGGGGAAAAAAAAUUAUGUUUGCCGAGUGUGUAAAAAAACACUCGGCAAACGCUAUAGUUUGCCGAGUGUACACCCUAGCACUCGGCAAACUAUAGGGUUUGCCGAGUGUCCCAUAGCGACACUCGGCAAAGACUAUAGUUUGCCGAGUGUCCCACCGUGGCACUCGGCAAACUUGUGCCUUUGCCGAGUGCCCUAUAUUGACACUCGGCAAACACUAACGGCCGUCACGGAUGGGCGCCGCCGUCGGCACGGGGAAGUCACGUGGGCGUCAGUUUGCCGAGUGUCAAAGUUUGCCGAGUGCCGCCUGGGUGUUUGCCGAGUGUUUUUUGGAGGGCACUCGGCAAACAUGUUGUUCGCCGAGUGUUUUAUUUUUGCCGAGUGUUUUUGGUGUUACACUCGGCAAAACGGUUCUUCGCCGAGUGCCCGAAGAAAAGCACUCGGCGAAGUUAUUACACUCGGCGACUUUAUGCUUUCCCGUAGUGCCUGCCGGCGGUAAAUAAAUGCAUAUGUAGCUCUACCUGCAAUAUGCAUGGUAUUACGAGAUACGGGUACGUUAGGAUGAUCCCGCCAACUGCAGUUCACUCUUGGACAGUCGCGCAAGCACGAGUAGCUAUGGUUGGCAUCCUUUCAUUUUCAGACUUUAGGGCCACCGUACCCUCCUUCCAUCCACUGAUGUCCCGUCCCAUACUCCCAUCGUAGCGCGCAAUAGAAGGAAUAUAAUAAUUACUAUCGCUUUCGUUUUCAGGCUGCAGGGAGGUUGGAAUACACCAACAAAUCAAACCAUUAUUAGUUAUUAGAAUCGAUGCAAUGCGCUAAGGCCAAGGAAGGAAAGACCAAGCAACUUACUAGGGAUGGCUAGCAGCAGUGCCAUGAGCAGCGUGGAGGCCAUGGUGAUUCUGACGACGCUGCUGCAGCUGGCCAGGUUCGCCGCGGGCUCCAUGGGCCCCCGGUUCUCUUCGCGGCGGCUGCUGAUCCCCGGCGUACGGUUGCUGCAGGUGAUGAACCACAACUCCGUGACCUACACCCUUGGGCUCAUGAGGCCACCUUCUUCUUCCUCGGACGACGACCAGACCUGGAACGACUUGUUCCAGGUCUGGGCCGUCCUCAUCGUGACCAUGCAGGACAGCGUCCACAUCGGGCGGCCGUACAGGACCCAGCGGAUGACCCUGAUCGACCUUCUGUCCUCCCUGUGGUCGGCCAACCUCCUCCGGGAGCAGACGCGGCUGCGCCUCAAGGUGCCCCUCUGGCUCAUCUGGUCCGUCCACGCGUCGCGGAUCGUCUGCUACUACGUCUCCAGCCACCGCGCGGCCAAGGCGUCCUGCGACAAGAUCAAGCUCGUCAGCGACUACAUGACGGCGUCGCACGACGACGACGACGCCUGCCCGCGCACCAUGCGCGGGUACAGGUACAUCGUGACUGGGGAAGAAAGCAUACUGGAUGAUCAUGAUGCCAAUGCCAGGCCACCCCAUGACCAUGAGGAGCUUGUGACCGUGGAGAAGGUGUGGGAGCAGCAAGCCCACGACAGGUUGCUGGGCUCCGCAGCCGACGGCGACAGCCGGUUCAAGGACGUGUGCCUCUCCUUCGCACUGUACAAGCUGCAGCGCCGCCGGUUCUUCAACUUCCCCAUCGCCGAGGCCACGCACCCGGCCACGCGGCGGCUCGUCUCCGGCGCCAUCCUGGAGGAGGGGCCCGACGGCGGCUACGACCGGGCGCUCCGGGUCACCGAGGCGGAGCUGUCCUUCCUCCACGACUUCCUGUACAGCAACCGCGACUGGGUGUUCUCCGCCGGCUUCCCUUGGGUGAGGCUGCUCCUGUCGCUGCUCAUGACCGUGGCCGCCUCCUACCUCUUCCACGCCGUUGGAGACAUUACUGCUGCUAUUCCAAGGCGAGGAGUGUUCGUCACCCAUUGCGUCAUCGCCGUCGUCGUCUGCAGGGAGCUCAUGGAGGUUGGCGUAUAUGCUCUGUCGCAGUGGACCAAGGUCGCCAUCGUCUGCCACCACGUCAGGCUCAGAGCCAGGGGAGGCGGCUGCCGCCGGAUUCUUCCGAUUCGCAGCUCCGACGCCUGCUCGUGGAGAAGGUGGCGAGGAUCGUGUUCUCUAUCAUCAGCACGGGCCGGUGGGACCAGCGGAUUCGCCAAUAUAACCUGCUCAUGAUGCCCGGGAAUCGAGUGGCCGGCGGUUGGCCCGUUGGUCCCGAGCGGUGCGACAUCCGGGCCAGCAUCCCAAGAAGGGCCAAGCUGGAUAGCGAGGUGAAGAAGUGCUCUUCAGUCCGCUCAAGGACCUCGUCNNNNNNNNNNNNNNNNNNNNNNNNNNNNNNNNNNNNNNNNNNNNNNNNNNNNNNNNNNNNNNNNNNNNNNNNNNNNNNNNNNNNNNNNNNNNNNNNNNNNGGCUAAUAAUUCGGCCCAACGACUGCAGGCCGUGAACAACCGGCUGCUGUCCGAUUACUUUCGGAAUGCAUUCGCGGCGGGCGGCGACCAAGGAUCGUCCCUGCUGGUGGAGGACCCCGCCGGCGAGCUCGACGGCGAGAGCCACAAGAUCCUGGUGUGGCACAUUGCCACCGGCCUGUGCCAGAUAAAGCUGCUGCUGGAGGACAAAGCCGGUGCCGGCGACCUGUACGCGCUGCCAGCGACGCCGCCGCAUUACGCCGCAGUGGCGUGCCUGUCCAACUAUUGCGCGUACCUGGUCACACAGAAGCUGGUGCCGGACAACGGCCUCGUCGCCGAGGAGGUGUUCGACGACGUGCGCGAGGAGGCCUACACCGCCCUGCGCGGGUGCAGCACGGUGAGGGAGAUCCGCGACAGGCUUGUCCCGGCUGCUGCUGCUGCUGCACAUGGCGGGGCGGCGGCGAGCACGACGACGAUCGUCGGAAUGGGCGCUCAGCUGUCGGAGAAACUCCUGUUGGCGUACGGCUGCAGGGACGACCAUCUCUGGGAGCGACUGGCCAGGUUCUGGGCGGGGUUCCUGCUGCACCUGUCGGCAUCCACCAGGGCGGCCAAGCAUGAAAUACAUCUCCAAGGCCGUGGGGAGCUCACCACGCACCUGUGGGUGUUGCUCUCGCAUGCUGGCUUCCUCGGCAAGACCAGCCACGGCCAGCAGUUGCUGGACCCGGUCGACCUCGACGACGCCUGAUCUGAGCCUGACCGCCUCUUCAUUUUUCUUAACACUUUAAUUGCAUAUAUAUUCUGAAGAGAUAAAACAAUAGAUCCCAAUGUGUUGAACUUUGUAAUCUCUAUUUGCAUAUGAUGGAAUCAAAGCUGGCUAUAGAAAAAAAAAACGCCAAUGUCGACACCUUGCCGGCGGUGACCACCCUUCCAUCUCCUCCUGCCUCCUCUUCCUUCCAAUACCUCGUACGAAGUUUUUGCCAUAUCAGAUUGGGCUCCAAUAUGCCAGAGCAGAUUGGGCUUCAAGAAUUUUUAAUUUUAUAUUAUUUAAUAUACGAAUUUGCAAAAAUAUUUAUCUCAAUUUUUUUUUACAGAUCUAGCAUCAUGAUGCCAAUUCAUCAAGUAGAAGGAGAGCUGGACCAUGGCCCAUCGAACCUACCACCACUUCAUCUGGCGGUAGCCAGUUGAACUAGUGGUAGGCUUUGUCGCCACGCUACACCUGGUUAUAGCCGUGCUUUUAGCUGGCUGUAGCCGGUUGAACCGGCUAUAGCCAGCUACCACCCGGCUAUAACACCUAUAUUUGGAUUAAACUUAAUAAUUUUAAAUAUAUUUUACUAGAAAAUUAUAUUUCAUGUAUAUUUUUGGUAUUGGACUGAGUUAAAAAAACAUCUGAUCCAUAUUUUUACUUCGGACUGAGUCGAAUAAAUAUUUGAUUGAAUUAAGUAUCUAUAAAAAAUUAUAUUUGAGCAAAAAAAUUAAAUCUGAAAUGAAAUAAUUAAAAUAAAAAUAUAUGGAGUUUUCCAAAUAAAUAUUGAAGUUAUAAUUAUACAUUAAAUAAUAUUUGUAAAUUCUAGAUUACAUCAAAUUAAUAUUAAAGCCAUAUAACAUUGGACAAAAGAUUUUAUAAAUAAAAAAUGGUGGAUAAGAAGGAAACAUUGGAAAUGGAGAUUACCCGGCAUGGUAUUGCAUAACUGGUUGAACGAAAUUGCAUAACUGGAGAUUACCGCUUGAACAGCUUUAUAAGGUUCUAGGUUUUUAAUUGGCUAUAAAAGUUUGCCCACGUAUGCCUCAUACACCACCUGCUCUUUAAGAGCACCUUCAUCAAUAGCCCCUACUUUAGGCCCCUACUUUAUUGAGUAGGGGCUGCCCCAAACUUUCUGGGGCUUGGUUUUUUGUGCUCAACUCCAGCAACAGUUCCUACAUCUCAACGCCUACUUUUCUUAAGACAGGUGGGAUCCAUGGGUCAGUCACUUAAAUCUUUUUUCCCCAUUUUCCUCUCCACCGGCCUCCUCCACCCUCUUCUCUCUCCGGCCUGUCCUACUCCCUCCUUCUCCCCCGAGCCUGGCUACCCUUGCUUGACCUCCUUGACGAGCAGAGCGACACACAGCGCGGUGAACGCCGGUGCGGGCUUGGAUCCAGGUGGUGGCGCUCGAGCUCCUCCUGGUGGUUGGCGGAUUCAGCCUAGUGGCGCAGGGUCUGGUGUCGGGAAGGUUGCGUGAGCUGCUUAGGGGCCACCUCGAUUUGGUCGGCGGCGGCCCGUGCAAUGGCCCGUGCUCAAGCUUGGGGUGGCGGGAAAGGAGUGGCAUGGUUUGAUUUGGUUGGUGGCAUCCGCAUCGGCCAUGAGGAGGGACGGGGACGUCCGCAGCUAGAGCUCAAGGAGCUGGCCAUGGUUGAAGUUGAUCGCAGUGGUGCUUCAUCCACCGGCGGCAAUCGAGCUGAUGGCCAACAUGUCGAGCUGCAUCUAGGCCAUUGAUGGGGCAGCAUGUCUCAUCUUGUCCAGAUUUAGCUGGGCGGCGCCAGUGACCGUAUGGGCCAAGAUCCGCUUGGAUCUGUCAGGGGAGGGGCAGCAUGGCGGUGGCGCAGCUUGGAGGGGUGGAUCCCGAAGCAAGGGAGGCGAGGAAGACCAUCAGCACGGCUGGGAGCUAGCGGAGCUCGUGCCUGGGGCGGUGGCGCUCGUGUCUGUACUUUAUAGAUGCUCAAGCUCGACUAGGAAGAUGAAGAAGAGAAGGAGCACGCGGUCCAACGAACAAAACCACCAAGUAGGGUCCUCCCUAGAGACCCGUGGGAGAAGGGAUUCGGGAUGGAAAAGUAGGGUCCUCCCAAGAGUAAGGACCUGAGUAGGGUUCCUAAUAGAUUUUAUUUUAUUUUUCACCCUCGGUCCCUACUUUUUAAAUAGGGGCCUGAGUAGGGGCUUUGCUGGAGUUGCUCUAAGUCCAACCAUUGCGUUGUCGUACGAUGCUCCAUAUUACUAUUCUGCAUGUCAUCGAUUGCUUGCAAGAUACCCUUAUGUCGGUCGUGUAUUAGACACGCAUUUGGUACAUCUUUCACAAUCAUCUACUUUACCCUAUCCAGAAACCAAUAUCAAGUAUCCCCGAAUUCUUUCUCCAUAAAGAAAAUCGCCAACAGCAACAGCUGCCAGUUACCAUCAGCUGCAAUGGCUGUGAGGAUUGUGCAUUUAUACCUUCCUGUCAAAAAUGUCCCAUCUAUGCAAAUGGCUGGGCGGCGGUGCGUAAAAGCCUCAAUGAAAGCACCCAAGGCCAAGAACGACCGUUGGAGUACCUGCUUCCCUGGUAUCUGGGCCCAUGGAUACAUUUUUAAGUCAUAGUAGCCUCUAGGAUUUCUAAGGCAUAUGGUCAGGAGCAGCACCAGCAUAUUAUGAUACGAAGCUUCAUACCUCCUCCACCUUAUCUCCAGCGCCUUCUGCUUCGCUCUGUAAGCUUUGUUGUAGCUAAUUUUAUAUUUGAAGUUCUCCUCAAUAGCACAAGUUAUUGACUUUGGCUCAAAGCUAGGAUUGUCCAUGAUAUGAGGAUACAUGUAGUUAGCAACAAAUGCAGCUAUGAGGUUGCGGUGCUGUGGGUUUAAUUGCUAAAGCAGGCAUGUGUGUUCCACCAUUCUAGUGACCUCCCAGUAAUCCUUCCACUUUCCCUUAGAAGUGUACACCCUGAAAGGGCAUUCACUUUUCACACAACACACAUUAUAUAUUCUCGAACUACUCCUAACCACAUUGAACUAUCUUUGCAAAGAUAGAGUUGACCAACAUUUUAUCACCAUUGGCAUACAUGGCACCGAUACAGACCUCAUUCUCCCUAUACUCCUAGGGACCGCUUCUCCCUGUACUCCUAGGGACCGCUUCUCCUUCAUUUACACUUAGGUUCAAAAAGUCAUACAUGGACUAGUUCUGUGGGACAUGAUAACCAUCCUCAUCAGGAGUCAUCAUCCAUAGUCUGAAUGUGCUCUUCGCCCUUCCUCUGAAACUCAUCGACUAUCUCUGGGAUGUCUUCGCCCUCAUCAGCCUCGCCAGUUGCUUCAAAAGGUUCGUGUGAAGUAUCUCCAUCAUCUCCUAACAUCUCAAGUUCAGCCCCUUCUUCACUUGGUUCAUGCAUUGUCUCCGAAUCUUCAGAGGCUAUAUCUCCCUCACCUUCAUCUUCCUCAGGCAGUUGACUACUAAACUCAAUCUUCUCGAAUGUUUGAACAAAUAAUACCAGCGGUAUAACUCGGUUAGUACUAAUAUUCACAUUGUUCCUCCAGUUUUGGGUUCCUCCAAGCGGCAUUAGCUCCCAAAACACUACUUCCCUUCGAUUCACCAAUGCCAUGACCGAGAUCUCAUGUUCAUCUUGAUUAAGUCAGAAAGCUUUAAAUAGCAAAUUGCAUAUUGAACCCUCAAGUCCUCUCUCUUGCUCUGGGUACUUUUUUUGUGAUCGACCUAAACUCUAACAAAUCUACCCCUUCGGGACCAUAUCUAACUUCCCUUGACACUUGAAAAUACAAACUUUCUAACAUGACUGCCAACAUAUACAACACCAAUUACUCAUACUGCCUCCUAUAUAUUUAAUCUACACCACUAAAUCUUUCUGUUAUUUUGAAAUGUACAGUUCAGACCUCAAUCUACAUCUAUUCAAAUAUUUUGUAAUAUGUAACUUUCAUAUCUAAUAUUUACAUCACUAAUACUUUUGGUCCUUUAUAUCUAAUAUUUUUAUCACAUAUUUUCAUCAAAUAUAAUUUUAAAUUACCUCAUAGCAUGUAAUAAACGUACAUAUAUUUACAUUUUUUGUCCUAACUUUUAUGUAACUACUAUUUCUAAUAUUCGCAUUGACAUCUAAUAUUUAUAUCUCAUACUACCAUUAAAUGUUUUCUAUUAAACAUACUUUUUCCUUCUAUUUAAACUAAUAUUUAUAAUCACUAAUACUUCUACUAGUGACUAAUAUUACUAAUAUUCCUAAUUAUUUCUAUUUAAACUAAUAUUUCUAAUCCUUCGAAUAUGUUACUUAUAGCUAAUAUUUAGAUCAAGAAAUUAUAUUCGUCUGAAUCACUAAUAUUUUUGUUAACUAUUGCUAGAUCUACUAUCCUUCUCAUACAUCUGUUCACUACUGCUACUAUAGCUACUACUAUUGGUAUAAAUAGAUUUUGAAAUUUACAUGAAACGAAGCGCAGAUCCAACAAAGCUUCGCUGCUUCCUUUUCUCCCCUCCCCUCCCCUCCUCCACUCCACUCCCCUCCCCUCUCCUCUUCCCCCCUCCCCCCCUCCUCCCAUCUCCUUUUCUCGGGCCCAGAAUGACACGUGCCGGCCGAUUUUCAGCUAUAUUCCGCCAUUUGAAUUGGCGGCAAUGGUUACCGUCGGGUGGUCCGGCGGUAUCUCUGUGGGCUCACAGCGCAAACAACUUUCUGCCGGAUCAUCCGGUGGCUACUUUCAUGGGCCCCGCGAUGGCAGCCGUUACUGCUAGUUGAUCCGACGGUUCCCGCCUGGCCCACUACGCGGCCCGCGAACGCCACUCCUACCUCCAGUUCAACUAUCGGUACGUAAACCGCCAUUUCAACCGGCGGUUUUUAUUCUUACCGUCGUUUCAGCUGGCGGCCGCUGGAUCAUCUGACGGCAUGAUGUAAGAUCUGCAAAAAAAAAUUGAGAAUUAUUUUUACAAGUUUGAAAAUAAAUAAUAUAAAAAAAUUCGGGCUUCAAUGCGCAACAUUGAGUUUUUGCCACAGCCUUUAAGUGGGCUGAACCACCCCUAAGGCCAGUUUCCUACCGCCCUGGCCCAGGGCGAGUUCUCUGAGACUGCUCGUCUGUCCUCUUCCUUAGAAGCAAAGCCACGGAUCCCCACACUGCAACGGAAAAGGUUAGUCCAAAGUCCAAACCACAUUUUUAACCCAUUUUACUAAUUUCCUGACCAAGAUAGAUAGGUAUCAAUUGUAUUCGGAAAAAAGGAAAAAAGGUGUAAAGAAAAGAGACGGUGAGAAAAUUAGAGCUAGAAAGUGCCAUUUAAUAUCAACCUAAACUGACACUUAACAGCAAAGAAGUUGUACUUCUAGGGAAGAUUUUCGACAAUGUUCAAUCUACAUCGACAGGAAUACAUAUAAGCAGUUGAUCAUAGUAACCAAAGUGUAGCAUCUCUCUUUACUUGUACCACCAGUACUACGAAAAUUCUUCAGCACCUCAGUAAUACCAACAACCACUCAACAUCUCAGAUGAGACCAGCUGAUCGACAAUGCAUCCAAAACUUCAGACGCCAUGAGAAUAUACCGGCAAGGCUUUUGUUACAGCCCGCACAAAUAUCCAAUUCAUCAACUGAAUCCUCUCAAAAAAAAAUCAACUGAAACAACUAGUCCUAUAAAAAAACUGAAAAAACUACUAUUUUUUAGAUGAACAUGACAAUAGAAUUACCAAACUACAUAUCCAAUUCAUCAACUAAUACUUUAAUCCUUUUUACCCAUUCUUUUCCACAUCACACAAAGGGGUAAAUAGCCCGUACACAUCCACACACACUGACACACACCCUUAAGGUGUCUGGGCAACGGCUGGGCCGCACCCUGGCUAGUUUCCUUAGCCCCUGACCUAGGGCUGGUUCUUUGAGGCCUCGCACGUUGGCUGGUUGUUAGAACUUGAAGCCAGGCCACAGACACCACGCUGCAACGGUAAACGUCAGCCCAAACCACCCAUUUCACUAAUUUCCUGACCAAGAUAGUUGGAUAGAUAGAUGUAUUCGGAAAAAGAAUAGAAGUGCAAACAAAAUAGAGGUGGGUGAGGAAAUUAGAGCUUGAGAGUGCCAUUGAAUAUCAACCUAAAUUGACACUUAACAGCAAAGUUGUACUUCUAGGGAAUAUUUUCGACAACGUUCAAUCUACAUCGACAGGAAUACAUAUAAGCAGUUGAUCAUAGUAACCACAGGGUAGCACCUCUCUUCUCUAGCCGAUACCACCAGUACUACGAAAAUUCUCCAGCACCUCAGUAAUACCACAGGACAACCACUCAACAUCUCAUAUGAGACCAGCUGAUCAACAACGCAUCCAAAACUUCAGACGCCAUGAGAAUGUAGCGGCAAGGCCUUCUGUUAUGCACUAACUAGGUUUUGCUGGGGUUCAGGAGCUCGCCAAGAUUCAAGUGCAAGCUGUUCCUCAUGGUUCUCCUUCCUGCUGCACCAGCAUUGCCCUUCCUCAUCAUUGCUGUAAACUCGCUGUAGUCGAUUUGUCCAUCCUGAAGUGAAAACCAGAUAGAAAUUAACUGGUGAACAACCAAAACCAAGAUUUGUGAAUGCAACUAGAACAGGGAGACGGAGAGUAGAUCAAAUAUAAAACCGACUAACAUUGUUCUGGUCAACAUCUUUAAUCAUAUCCUCAAGGUGAACAUCAUCAAGACCAAAUUCACGGCAUGCUUGUGACAGCUCAUCAAUGGUUAUAAAGCCACUUCCAUCUUUGUCGAAAAAUGAGAAUGCUGAAACCAAGUUUUCCUCCCUCUCCAGCUUAUUCAUGUGCAACGUAGCUGCAUGAAUUCACCAUAGUCGAUGGUUCCGCUGUUGUCA
rnacentral:lncRNA from 1 species